rnacentral:lncRNA from 1 species
AGAUGUUGAUGCACCUGAAGGUCUCUGUGGCAUUGCCACUAAACCUUCCUACCCAGUUGCAUGAGUAGCAGUAUUUUAUAUUAUAUUAUUAUUAGUCGCCUCUUAAUAAUGAUGUCUUCAAGCCUACACAUGCAUUAGCCUCGAAAGGCUUAUACGAACCGUAUGAAUCGUAUGAUUCUGUGGUUUUAUCUAUGUUGAGUAUUUCAUAGGUUGUAAUUGAACGCCAAUAUUUGGUAUUAGUUAAUGUUAAAUCUCUCCUUUAAAUAUAAGUUUGAUCUUUGUAGUAAUUAGUCAUUUACAUUUAAUGCCACGGAUACUCAAUUCGACCAAGAAAUACAAAGUUUAUAUUUCAGUUACUCUGAUAUUUUAUGCGGCAUAUUAUAUGUCGUUCAUUGAUUAAGUUGUAAGAAUAGUAUGUAAAUAAUUAAUAAUAAAUUUAUUUAUUAUCAUUUAUGAGACAAUAAAUGAUUAGUGGUACAAUAACUAAAAUACAAACUAUGUAUCCCAGUUCAAUGAACAUAACAUUACUGAUAAUUAAUAUUAUUCAUUUAAGAAAUAUAUAUUGGUCAAUGAAAUUAAUGCAAGACAAAAAGUAACUGAAUUUUGAUUACACGCUUGAUGUCUGGAAGUACAAUGUUUAUGAAUUUGUGUAAGUUGUUUUAGGUCAAAUUUUUAAGUUAAUCAAACCUAUAUACACACACUAACUUUUAAAGUUCGAGUGGAAUUUGCCUGCUUUAAUUGGGGUCUCAUACAGCAAAAAAAAAUUGGCUAUCUUGAAUUUCUUUUUCUAAUUACUUAUAAAAAUUCAAAGGCUUGGUAAUUUCCCUCCACCAAAUUCUGUCUUUAUUCCUAAGUAAAUCAGUGGCUAGAACACUUAGCUACUCAUUUCCAGAUGAAAAAAACUUCAUUUAUUGCAACCAGAAAUGUUAGUCACAUAUAAUUAAGAACUUAAAAAAAGAAAAGAAUUAUAUUUCCCAUAUAGUAAUUAUAUUUCCCAUUUUAACUAUACUCUGUGACUAUCACUUUUAGUUUUCAAAUGGUUGUUUUAGACGUUUAGUGAUUAAAAUCAUAGUCGUUGAAGUCUUUUACUCACUAAAAAAAAUGAUCGCAUAAAAUCCAAUUAAUUGGUCUGGUUUUUGUGACUAAUCGCUGAUUCGUUAUUUAAUGAAACAUUCGGUGACUUAAAAAAAUAGUCACAAAACAUGGACUAUGGUAGUAAAAUAACACAGAUAUAUGAACUGCAAAUUCCGUGAAUAAAAACUAAUAGUAGUCGUGGAAUAAUAUAUUAGGUGGUUAAGUUUUAUUUAGUCCUAUAAUAUUAAUUUUCUUUUAUUGUGAUCAUAUGAGCAACAUCACUCACGUGAUCACUACUCUACUUUAAUAUACUUUCAAAACUCUUAUAUUUUGUGCAUCUAUUUAAUAAAAUUUAAAACUUAAAUUUUAAUAUUAACACAUUUUUAAUUUUUAAAAAUAAAUAUGAAAACACUCCUCAUUAAACCUUUUCAUUAGAAACUUUGUUUCCGUUCGAUACAUUUCACAAUGUAUUGUCUUUUUAUUUUUAAGUUGUUUUUUUUUUCAAUCUUCACGUUUGAUUUGUCUUUGUUAUUCUCUUCAAACUGAGAAUCUUUUAUAAUGUUCAAUGUUGAUGCCAAUCUUUUUCAUUGAUUUUUCUUAUAUUUGAUAUUGGCCAAUUCACUAUAUUUAAUUAUAAGACUGGUUCUUUUAUAAUGUUCAAUGUUGAUGCCAAUCUUUUUCAUUGAUUUUUCUUAUAUUUGAUAUUGGCCAAUUCACUAUAUUAAUUAUAAGACAGGUUCUUUUAUAUUGUUCAAUGUUGAUGCCAAUCUUUUUCAUUGAUUUUUCUUAUAUUUGAUAUUGGCCAAUUCACUAUAUUUAAUUAUAAGACUGGUUCUUCUCAACUUUAAUUUCCUCCUUCAUGAUUUCUCUGUCUUUGUUUCAAUCACGUUUAAAACAAAAGAUAAUUUGUGUAUUGAUGCAUGACUUUUCCAAUCAAUUCCGUUAACCAGAACAAGUUGAGAAGUUAUGAGCCAUAGCUAGUUUCUUGAUCAUAUGCUACUGAGCUUUCUCUAAUUAGUCCCCAGAAACGUUUCUACGGGAACACUAAUUUGAUUUUCCGGGGACAACGUUAAUUUGUUAAAACCUAAUUAUUUUUACAGUAGAUUACAUUAAUUUUCAGGUUGAAAAGAUAGGAUAAUUUUACCUCCAAUGGCUGUAAAAAGAAGUAAUUAUUUCGUUAAGAGUACAGUGGUGUUAUACAUUUUAAAAUUUGAUUAUAUAUGAUGUGGUAUUCAUUUACUGGUUGGUGAAAUAAUUUAAUUAACUUACUUAGAAUUAAGGGUUUAUACAUUGAAUUGUCUUAAUAAAGUAAAAUUUUAUAAAAAAAUAUAUAGUUGUUUGGAGUAGAAUUUUAGCAAAAUCAAAUAGUUGUUUUGUGGUAGGAUUGAGCUUUUUUUUUUUUUUUGGGUGAAAAUUUAACAUUAGAGGUAAUAAAGUAUUACAAAAUAUAUAAAAGACUUAGAGUGGUGUUUGGUUGAAAGGAGAGGAAGGGGAAAGGAAAGUAAUUUAAGUUCCGUUCUUGUUUUCGUUGUUUGGUUAACCAUAAUUUAUAAGAAUUUAAUUUUCAUUACAAUUUAAUAUACAUUAUAAUGUAGAAUUUAGAUUCCACAUCAAAAAGUGAUAAAUUUAAAUUCCUCUAGAAGCUAAAACAUCUAAAAUUAUCCCUUCAAAUCUUUUGUUAACUUUGUUUAAAAUUAUCAAAUAAUUAUUAUUUACAAUUUUAUUUUAUCAAUUUAAUAUUGUAGAUGAAUAACUUUAUAUAUAUUAAUAAAAGUUAAAGUAAUGAUUUAAUAAAAUCACUUUAUUUAUUUGAUUAAUUUACAAAAAUAGAAAAAUAAAUUUAAUAGUUGUCGGACCGCACUGCUGCCAUCGAUAUUGCCGCAUGGGACGUCAUGCGGUAUCGUUGGACUAACCAGCCAACGAGCAACGUCAUUAUAUUCUCAUAGAGGUGAAAAAAUGAAUUUGUUUUCUUCAAAUCCAAUUAAAAAAUUUUAAAAACUUUCUAACUUUCUCAUAUCUGGACAAACAUCAAGUAUAUUGGUCAAAUAAAUUGCUUCAAUCUAUAGAUCAUUAAUUUCUUAUAAUUUUCAUAUAAUUCUCGAGCUGGAAUGACAUGCUACAGUGGUGGCCGAUGGCGACAUGUAGUGGCUCCAAUGGCGGCAGCAGCGACUCUUUUUUUUUUUUUUUGAAGUUUGUCAAGCAAAAUUUUUAAAAUUAUAAUAUAUUGGUUAAGAAAUUAUUUGUAUUAUGUCAAAUUUAUUUAGAAACAAAUUAAGUUAGAUUAAUUAUAGACUAAAAUUAUGUUAAUAAACUUUUUAAAUAGAUAUAAUUACAAAUAUAAUUAUAUUAUUUAAAAUAUAAUUAUAUGAAAGUUCCCAUGUGUUCAUAAUUAUAUUCUAAGUAAUUAACUAUUUCACCAGCAAGUUCCCCUGUGUUAAGUGAUGAAGAGCAGCAGCUUCCCGCGCUAAUUAACGGCUUAACAGACUUCUGAUAAGCCUUCAUUACACGUGUCUUCAUCUCUGUUAUUCUAAGUGACAAAACGACAGUUCAGGCAGCCGUUUUGGUUAAGUGAAUCACGUGCAAACCACAUGCCUUCCUUGUAUAAACAGAUGACACGGUAUCCUUGUCAUAUAGCUAUCUCAGGACUGUCAACCGACAUGUCACGGUGUUGAAAAAUCUUCAACCGACUUGUCGCACUUGACUAUAAACUAAUUUGCAGUUCAUAUUCAACAUUCUCCACUUUGAGCUCAAAUAAUCCAUUCCUCAGGUUCACCUUUCCACUUCUUUCCUGCAGUCUAUAUCCUGCAGAUGCCAACUGAGUUCAUGCAGAACUCAAACUUAGCUCCUGGUACAGCUUUGGUAAGCAUGUCAGCAAUGUUGCUAUCAGUGUGUCUUUUAGCCAUCUUAAUCACACCCUUUGAUAUUUCCAAUAUGACAACGUGAAGCUUGAUAUCAAUAUGCUUGGUCUUUUCGUGGUGAAUCUGGUUCUUACUUAGACAUAUAGCACUUUGGCUGUCACAAUGAACUGUGAUUUGUUUUUGUUCAAAUCCCAGUUCUGUCACCAUCCCUCUGAGCCAGAUAGCUUCUUUGAUUGCCUCUGCAACUGCUGUGUAUUCUGCCUCAGUUGUUGAUAGAGCAACAAUACUCUGUAGUGAAGCCUUCCAGUUUAUGGUGCAGCCAUUAAGCAUGAACACAAAGCCUGUUAAGGACCUUCUUUUAUCCAGAUCUCUAGCAUAAUCUGAAUCUACAUAACCUUCCACACUAACCUCUGCAUAUUUCUCAGCUCCAUAGAUCAAACCAUAACCAGUUGUACCAGCAAGGUAUCUUAAGAUCCACACAACAGCCCUCCAAUGAUCUUUCCCUGGGUUAGCCAUAUACCUGCUUACCACACUCACUACAUGAGAGAGAUCAGGCCUAGUCAGGACCAUUGCAUACAUUAAACAUCCAACAACACUUGAAUAUGGAAAUUUAUUCAUUUCAGCCUUCUCAGCAUCAGAGUUUGGACACUGUUGGUAGGACAGUCUGAAAUGAGAGGGCAGUGGUGUCUGUACUGGUUUACAUUUAUCCAUAUUGAACUUUUCAAGUACUUUCCUGAUGUAUUUGUGCUGUGUUAGGCUUAGGAUACCACUCUUCAUGUCUCUCUUUAGCUGAACUCGAAGGAUCUUCUUUGCAGCACCUAGAUCCUUCAUCUCAAAUAUAUUGCUCAGCUGCUGCUUCAGUUCAUUUAUGAACUCCAUCUCCUUACAAGCUAUUAACAUGUCGUCUACAUAGAGCGGCAGGUAGAUCUUAUCACCACCUUCUAUAGUUUUAAAGUAAACACAGCAGUCAAAGCUGCUCCUUUGAAAACCAUGAUCUGACAUAAACCUGUCAAACCUUAGAUACCACAGUCUUGGAGACUGUUUUAAUCCAUACAGUGAUUUCCUUAGAUGACAUACAUGAUCAGCCUUUUCUGGAUCUUCAUACCCUUCAGGUUGUGACAUCACUAUCAUCUCAUCUAUUUCACCAUGCAGGAAGACAGUCUUCACAUCCAUCUGUUCAAGAUGCAUGUCUUGCACAGCCACUAGAGAUAAUAGGGUCCUUAGAGAAGCAUGUCUUACCACAGGGGAGAAAACUUCUGUAAAGUCAACCCCCUCUUUCUGAGUGAAGCCUUUUGCAACCAACCUGGCUUUGUAUCUUUGUGGCUCAACAUCUGGAAUUCCCUCCUUGAUUCUGUAAAUCUAUUUGCAUCCUGCUACCCUCUUGUUUGAUGGUCUUUCAAUGAGAUUCCAGGUGUGAUUCUUUUUCAAAGACAUCAUUUCCUUAUCCAUAGCCUUGAUCCAUUCUUCUGGCUUAUCACUGCUAAUAGCUUCUGAGUAUGUUCUAGGUUCAUAUGUUGCUAUUUCAUGUUCUGCUGUUAAUGCAAAUGCAAUUAGAUCUGCAUAUGCAUAUCUUCUAAAAGGUCUUAUCACUCUCUUUUCUCUGUCCCUCACUAACUGAUAAUCUUCACAUCUCCCUUGAUCACUUGCUGUUUCAUUCUCAGUGUCAUGUAUUUCCAUGUCUGUUAUGUCUCCAGCCUCUGAUCUUGAUUUUUGUUUCUGGUUUGAGUUUGUCAGCUCCACCUCAAGAUAAGAUCUCUCAUCUUUAUCUUUUAGUUCUGCAUUUGUAGUUUUUAAGGAUACUGAGUGUUGAAGCAUCUCAGCUUCAUUAAAUACCACAUCUCUGCUUAUGAUUGCUUUUGGUGGCUUCAUGUAUGUGCACCAUAGUUUAAACCCUUUUGCCCCUUCAGGGUAACCAAGAAAUACACACUUCAAUGCCCUGGGUUCUAAUUUGCCUUGCUUGAUGUGAGCAUAUGCUGAACAGCCAAAGAUCUUCAAACUGGAGUAAUCUGCUGGUUUACCAUACCAAAGUUCAUAUGGUGUCUUGAAGUUAAUUCCAGUUGAAGGGCUUCUGUUCACAAUGUGGCAAGCUAUUGACAGAGCCUCAGCCCACAGGGACACAGGUAUCUUAGAGUGAAUGAGCAUACACCUCACUUUGUCAACUAAGGUUCUGUUCAUCCUCUCAGCUAAUCCAUUUUGCUGAGGUGUAUAUCUUACUGUUUUGUGCCUCAUGAUUCCAUGCUUGCUGCAAAAUUCUUCAAACCUCCUUUUCCAGAAUUCUAAUCCAUUGUCAGUUUUGAGCUUCUUAACCUUCCUAUUGGUCUGAGUUUCAAUAAGUGUUUUCCAGUUUAAUUAUAUUAUUUAAAAUAUAAUUAUAUUCUAAGUAACAAAACUAAAGUGUGAAAUAGUCCAAAUGAAAAAUAAGGCAUUUCCUUUGUUUGUAUAGUUUUGUAACAAAUCAAACAUUAGAAAAUAGUUUCAAUCUUCCCUAAUUUCUUCCACUUUCUUCUCCUCUCAUUUCCUUCUCUUCUUCAAACCAAACACCACCCAAAAUAAAAAGUUGAAAAAUAAAGGGAGAAAAUUUUACCUCGCGUGACGCUGCAUUUUGUACAAGUAAUUUAACAUAUUCGUGUCAAAUCUCAGUAAGUACAAGCAUAAAUGGGUGGGUAAAAAACUCAUAACCCACAUCCAAAUUAAACCCAAACCAAAUUAGGUAUUUGGGUUAGUUUGGACUGGUUGAAAAUUUAUUUAGUUUGGGUUGGGUUCAAUCCAUUUCAAUUUUUGUAGGAAAGACUGUUAACUGUUAAGUGCCAAAAGUCCCUGUAUAAGCAUUGAAUGUCUUACUGUAACAUAGACCAAAAAAUUCUGAUUUAGAUGAUACCAAAUUUGCCUUCAUCAUGGUUCAUUUGCCGCCGACUAGAGCUGGCAAAACGGGUCAUUGAAUCGUGUUCAUGUCGUGUCAAAUUUAGGUCGAUCCAAACCUGACCCAUUUAAUAAUCGUGUCAAAAUAUUGUGAUCCAAACCCGACACGAAAAAAUAAUCUGGUUACCCAAUAACCCGCUUAAUAUCUAUAUAUUAAACAAAAGUUACACCAAAUAUUUACACAUUGCCAUACAUACGUAUGUACAUACAUACAUACAUAAUUUAUUGAUAUUAUAAAAUAUACAUAUAUAACAAAAUAUUAUACAUUUACACUAUUGAAGUUUUAAUUAUAUAUAUGUAAAUAAUAUAUAUCAAUAUUAUAAAAUCUAUAUGUCUACUAAUAUUUUACACAUUUACACUAUUGAAGUUCUAUAUGUAUAUAAAAUUUUAUAAAUAAAACACUUUGUUUAUAUUUUUCAUUUCAAAGAAUAAAAAUAAAAGAGAAAAUCAUCCCUAAUAUUUGAGUUUUGACCACAAGAACCUAUAAAUUAUUUUAAAAUAGAAAAUAUAAUCGGGUCAUUGAUCGGGUAAAUGGGUCAAGAAUUUUAACCCUAACCUGACACGGAAAAAAAUCGUGUCGACCCGGACCUAACCUAUUUAAUAAUCGUGUUAAAUUCGAUGACCCAUACUCAUUUAUUCAUGCCGUGUUCGUGUCGAGUAAUUGGAUCGUGUCAAAUUUUGCUAGCUCUACCGCCGACAUCGACAACGAUGGCACCAGUGAAGCAACAAUCACGCCGGUGGCUUAAAUCAAUUUUUUUAAUAAUUAAUCAAGAAAUAGCAUUGAUUGUAAAAUUAAUUAUUAAUUAAUUUUUUUUGUAGGUUAUAAAUAGAAAAUAAAAAUUCAAUAAUUUUUGCAUUAAACAAUUUUAAAAUAACAAUUAAGUUUUACCUCAAAAUUGAAAAAGACAUAAGUAUCAAUUUGGUCAUUUCUACAAACAUAGAUGAGUAAUUUUCAAUCAUAACUUGAAUUUUAUUUGGAAAGAAAUUCUUUAAUAAUUUAAAUUUAUCAAAUGCGCUAUUGAAUUAUUUUUAGACUAUAAUGCAAUCCAAACAUGUCCUAUGUCAACCCAAACUCAAACCAUAUUAAAAUAAUUUGAUUUGGGUUGGGUUAUAAAGACUUUGGGUUAAAUUCAAAUAUGUUUGGUUUGGUUUAGAUUAAUCUUAAACCCAACUAAAACCAAUCCAAGCCCACCCAUUUUAUUACAUUUAUCAAUUAAAGAGAAAAGGAAAAAAAAAAUCCCAAACGGUAUCUAAUAAUAAGUCUGGUACUUAUUAUUAGAUAAUUGAUGUCGCGAUAAAUGGAAGCAGAAUAUUUCUUCUUGAAAAAUUCAGAGAAUAAAAGCUCGGUAGCUCUUUGAUGCAAUGAACUUUGGAGAUAUUUCAUGUAAUAAGAUUAAAUAUGCUUUGGAGACGGAAUCAAAGUAACAAGAAGUACUGACUUUAAUUAAAAUCACAAAUUGUGUUUUGUCCUAUGUAGUAGAAUUCCAAAUUUACAACUGAGCCCUGCCUUGGUGGGACAAGGAAAUUGAUUGUACCUUAAUUUAGUGGAUAAGACGGACAAAGCCCAAAUUCAUUUGAUACUUGUGCAAGUUGCUGCUGACUGUUGGUGUGCAGCGAGCAAUUUGUGCUGUUUUAUUCAAGCACUACCUCUGUCCAGUCUAUUAGUAUCAAUUGUGAUCUGUCAACGUUUUCCAGUAGACUCUGUUGAUGCGAGAUCCUGGUUUUCUGCUCGUCCACGACCAGGAUCUCUCUUCUUAAGACUUCCUCUCCGCAAAUAUCUGCGUACACAGAGAUAGGUCAGAGCACGCCGGGUGUUUUCCUGGCUAAACCCUCUGAUGCUCAAGUCAGAAACGUAGGCUUUGCCUUUUUGGGAAACACGGCCACUAAUAUUAUGACUCUUUUUCUAAUCUCUCAAUAGAAAACUCUUUUCUUAUGUUCUAAUCUAAAAAAGUCUAACCCCUUUACCUUCGUUGGUUACCUUUUUAUAGCCUUUCUUUAAAUUCGGCCCUUCCUGCAAUCCACGUCCAUCACCUCUCUCAACACUCUGAAGUGGGUGCGUUAUUACCGUAGUUGUGGCUAGGUGGACUCCGUGCCUUGAUUCUCGGGCAACGAUGCACGUCUUGCUACCAGACAUCUGCUGAUCAUGGUUGGUCUUGUAGAAGUAUUACCCCCAAACAGACUCCACAACAGUGGGAUAAAAACCGUGUACUGAGUCAUUUUCUGUACAUUAGUAAGCGGGGCCAAUGCACAAUUAAUUAUUAAAUACUGGGCUAGUCGCUAGUCCCCACAUUAGCAAAGAGUGAGCCCCAUGAGCCAUAAAAGCCGUCACCUUGCCUUGUGCCGCUGCUUAAUAAACUCACUCAACACACUCGUUCUCUUCAUUUCAGUUCCAUUCUCAUUCAUAUGUCCAACAUGACAACAUUGGAAGAAGAAUUAUCCAUCCUGGAAUUCAUUCGCCAGUUUUCUUCUCGGAGACUUUACCUCCUUAGACGACCCAAAUCUCUCUUUUCUCCAGCCUAUCGAGUCAGAAUUCCCUGUGAUCAAAUCCGAACCCGACUCCCCCACCCUCUGUGAAAUAAUAAAACCUGAAACAUUGGACAUAACGUGUUUGGGUUCCAGUAAUUGGACAACAUCACCUCAAAAGUAUGGAGAGAAUAUGGUAGAAGAGCACUGCUCGAGGAUGGCGGCGUAGAACCUGAGCCGCCUCCGGGUGGCACAGUAGAUGCCGAACCUCCAGUGGAGGUGGAAGAAGUAGUAGGACUUUGGCCAGGAGCUGCAGAUGGACUAGCGCCGGGGCUUCCAUCGGACUCAACUUCAUUCCUAAGUCUCUGGCUGGCUUGGCAAUGACCUGGUAUUCCGCAAAUGAAGUAAUAGAUACCGGGCGCAUUGAGAGUGAUGGCGUCAGAGCCUGAGAUGUGAUGUUUUAUCGAGCUUUUGCAUUGCAUGCAACGUAAUCUGCCUCAGUCACUUCAUGCACGUCGUGCAUGGCGUUGUUAUACUUGAAAACUGCAUUAAUUAAGCCAUGCAAUUAGGAGAUGCAUGAUUUUGCAAUUAAGUGUGUAGUUGUAUAAUCUUCUCGGUUCUCCACAAUUCAAUAUAUAAGAAAUUACUCAAUCACUAGACUUAUAAAUAACAGAUUGUGUACGUACGUGCGCCUUUAGUACUUAGGGUUUGAGCAUAUAUUACUCUGUCAGUCUAUGUAUUUGUAAUAAUUACCCAAAAGAUUCAUGCAGUAUAUCUGUUUCGGUUGAAAUCUGCUCAAUUAUUCUAUAUUUUUCACCUAUUAAGAAGAAGAGAUGAAAGAAUGGGUCAGGAGAUAUGCUAGCUAUCGUAGGUCUUUGCUGUAGAGCCUGUACCCAGUGGAAUUGUCCUCUGUUUGAGAUAAAAUCUCUCCUCUAUAGCGAUGCAAAGGAUUUUCCAAGAUGCGAAUUUUGUUAAUUUUCUUCUUAUGCUUUAGUGCCAUAUAUAUUUUGAAGGUAUGGAUUGUUACGUCCCUGCUAAAUAGUUGCGCUUAGAUUUUUCAUUUUGCAAAUAAAAUUUUUCGUUCUUUCGGAGUUUAAGCGACCUCCCCCCCCCCACAAAAAAAAAAGUAGCGGACCAAAUCACAAACUCACCGAGGGUAUCACCAACUUUGAAUUCUUUUCCAUCUACCCAUGAAUAGUAAUCAACUUUGCCUUGUGUCGUCCAGCCGGCAUUGUCACCAACGGUAUAAGUAGUAGCUGCCACGGAGGCUCCAAAGAGAGCCAUGAUUGUCAAGGAAAUCACAGCGCUCUUUGCCGCUGCCAUUAUUACUUUAUUAUACUGAUUUAAAAUUAAUUACCAAAACUUCUAAUAAUGAGAGAGUUUAUAUAGGCUUUGGUACUUCUUUGCCACCAAGCAUUGCUGUCUAUAUUUAGCUUGAGACUGGUGUUUUAUCCGAGCGAUGUGCAAGGAAAUGAUCGGAAAACAAAAUAUCUAACUUGGACUAUUUAAAAAUAGGAUACAAGUAAUGAAAUUAAUGACUGGAAUAACAGAAAUAACUGUAAUAAUGGGAAAUAACAGAAACGGAAAAAUUAUGGAUGUGUUUGAACAUCCCUUUUGAUUCAUCGACCGAUUUUUUUUUUUAAAAAAAAAAUCACGAGUUAUAAGUCCAUAAAAAAUAUUAGAGAAUUUAAAUCGAUUCUCACCGUUUAGUGCUCUUUUAAAUGUUAAUCUAUUCCACGUUUAUAAGCAUAAUAUCUACGGUUUUUAUCAUAUUUACUAGCAACCAGUGGCGGACCCAGGAAUUUAAGCCAGAGGGGGCUUGCUAUAAAUUAUCUUCUCUAAGUAUUCGUUAUUUCACUAGUUUUCAUAACUUAGAAGAAAAAAUGGUUGAUAAGAAAAAAAAAUUACUUGUGAAUAAUCUGCAAAUCUUACUGCAUAACAUUGGGUUUGAUAUAUUUUGAUUAUCCUCAGACUGGUUUAUUAUUUUAUUUGUCAGUACAGCAUAAUCAUCAUUAACAAUUAAAAAAAUGAUGAGUAAAAUUUUUUAUUUUUGUUUAUUAAAAAAAACAUUUUGAUUUAAUUUCAUAAUAAUUUUCCGGAUGAGUUUCUUAAUCAUCUUGAAUGCAGUAGAUCUAUAGAGGAUAUAAGAAAAGAAUUGAGAAAAAGAGCCAUAAGCACUAAAUUUUAAAACCAAAAAUAGAAUAUAAAAUAAUUGUUUUAGAAUAAACUGUGAAAAUAUUUUACUAAAGAGUGAGACUACUAGCAGCCCUCCAAAAUCUUUAUAAACCUCUACUAGAUGCACAUUUAUGAUUUCUAAGUACACUCUUCUUUUUUUUUUUUUAAUUCCACAAAUAAUCAUUUUAUUUUCUCCUCAUUCCGAACACGGAAAUGAGAAUCUUUGUACAAAAUAUUUUCAGUAGUAUUUAUGAAUAAUUAUCAAAUAUUUGAUUAACUACAAAUCUCAAUUUUUAUUUAACUAUAUUUCUUUCUUUUUGUUUUUUAUCAGUUUUAAAUUUAAAUAUUUGGGACCGAAAGUUUUUCAACAUAUCAAAGCAUUAGGGAAAAAGCUGUCUUAUUUUAAAUCAAUAAUGGAACUUUACUGAAAAAAUGAAUACCGGCAAUGAUCGAUCAGACAAUCAUACAGAGGUGUAGUUUAAACUAUAAAGAGGCCUCUUUACUAAAGCAUAUUUGAAAUUGGGGAUGUCAAGGAAUUUUGUUGGAUCUUAACAGUUUCACACUUUAAAAUUUGAAAACACACAAGGGGCUUACAAUUUUCAUUUAAAGCUAUUUCAAGGCCCUGAGUGGGUCCGCUUGUGCUUGCAAUUAUGCCUGACUCUAAUUAUAUUUGGAGUAAUGAACUAAUUUCAAUGGCUCUAAUAUUUGGGCCCUAACUAGUUUGACAACUUAUUUGUAAUUAGCAUAUCAACUAUAUUAGGAUGUAACAGGUAGUAGCGGUUUUAGCAUUAAACAAAGCAGAUUCAGGCUUCAUGCUCNNNNNNNNNNNNNNNNNNNNNNNNNNNNNNNNNNNNNNNNNNNNNNNNNNNNNNNNNNNNNNNNNNNNNNNNNNNNNNNNNNNNNNNNNNNNNNNNNNNNNNNNNNNNNNNNNNNNNNNNNNNNNNNNNNNNNNNNNNNNNNNNNNNNNNNNNNNNNNNNNNNNNNNNNNNNNNNNNNNNNNNNNNNNNNNNNNNNNNNNNNNNNNNNNNNNNNNNNNNNNNNNNNNNNNNNNNNNNNNNNNNNNNNNNNNNNNNNNNNNNNNNNNNNNNNNNNNNNNNNNNNNNNNNNNNNNNNNNNNNNNNNNNNNNNNNNNNNNNNNNNNNNNNNNNNNNNNNNNNNNNNNNNNNNNNNNNNNNNNNNNNNNNNNNNNNNNNNNNNNNNNNNNNNNNNNNNNNNNNNNNNNNNNNNNNNNNNNNNNNNNNNNNNNNNNNNNNNNNNNNNNNNNNNNNNNNNNNNNNNNNNNNNNNNNNNNNNNNNNNNNNNNNNNNNNNNNNNNNNNNNNNNNNNNNNNNNNNNNNNNNNNNNNNNNNNNNNNNNNNNNNNNNNNNNNNNNNNNNNNNNNNNNNNNNNNNNNNNNNNNNNNNNNNNNNNNNNNNNNNNNNNNNNNNNNNNNNNNNNNNNNNNNNNNNNNNNNNNNNNNNNNNNNNNNNNNNNNNNNNNNNNNNNNNNNNNNNNNNNNNNNNNNNNNNNNNNNNNNNNNNNNNNNNNNNNNNNNNNNNNNNNNNNNNNNNNNNNNNNNNNNNNNNNNNNNNNNNNNNNNNNNNNNNNNNNNNNNNNNNNNNNNNNNNNNNNNNNNNNNNNNNNNNNNNNNNNNNNNNNNNNNNNNNNNNNNNNNNNNNNNNNNNNNNNNNNNNNNNNNNNNNNNNNNNNNNNNNNNNNNNNNNNNNNNNNNNNNNNNNNNNNNNNNNNNNNNNNNNNNNNNNNNNNNNNNNNNNNNNNNNNNNNNNNNNNNNNNNNNNNNNNNNNNNNNNNNNNNNNNNNNNNNNNNNNNNNNNNNNNNNNNNNNNNNNNNNNNNNNNNNNNNNNNNNNNNNNNNNNNNNNNNNNNNNNNNNNNNNNNNNNNNNNNNNNNNNNNNNNNNNNNNNNNNNNNNNNNNNNNNNNNNNNNNNNNNNNNNNNNNNNNNNNNNNNNNNNNNNNNNNNNNNNNNNNNNNNNNNNNNNNNNNNNNNNNNNNNNNNNNNNNNNNNNNNNNNNNNNNNNNNNNNNNNNNNNNNNNNNNNNNNNNNNNNNNNNNNNNNNNNNNNNNNNNNNNNNNNNNNNNNNNNNNNNNNNNNNNNNNNNNNNNNNNNNNNNNNNNNNNNNNNNNNNNNNNNNNNNNNNNNNNNNNNNNNNNNNNNNNNNNNNNNNNNNNNNNNNNNNNNNNNNNNNNNNNNNNNNNNNNNNNNNNNNNNNNNNNNNNNNNNNNNNNNNNNNNNNNNNNNNNNNNNNNNNNNNNNNNNNNNNNNNNNNNNNNNNNNNNNNNNNNNNNNNNNNNNNNNNNNNNNNNNNNNNCACAUAUAGCACCUUUGAAGGUAUAUAAGUGCUAGAGUGCCGUUUGGUAGUUAAGGGUAGAAAUGUAAUUGCAAUCAUUUAAAUUUUUUAAACUAUAAAGAAUUUAUUGACCGAUUAAACAAGUCACUAUGCACCAGAAUGCACAGUGAGUAAUUGAAAAAUCACUAUGCACUUUGAAUACAAAGCAUGGAACCAUGUGAAAACUAAGGGGGGAGCAACCCAUCUCCACUUCUUCUCAUCGACUUCACUUUAAAAUAUAUAAUACCCACUUGAUUCAGCUCAAAUGAACUUGUGAUAUAGUGAGAAAUAACCUCUCUGAGAUUAAGCAUGUUAAGAAGUAAAUUAUGUCGGUGGCCGACAUUUAAGCAGUCAAUCAUUAAAGAGCAUAAGGUGUGUAUUUCCAUCGAAACUUGAAGCUUAAUUUUGGGUUAAUUUUCGUCUUGCAUUUUGUUCAAUAGGAUGCUAGGUUGUGCUUCAAUUAAUUGAGAAGACUGUAUAGUGUUCUAAAAAUUUGAAAUAGUUAUCGAAAUAAGUUGAAAAUCACUAUAAAAUUUUGGGUAAAAUACAAAAAACAUUUGAUUUUUUAAGAGAUAAGAAAGUGAGGAUCUGAGUGCCUACUAAAUUUGACUUGCUCUGCUCUUCAUAUUAAAAAAAAACUUGUUGCUGGAAAUGCAAAGUUGUUGCUACCGAGAAUGGUUAGUGAAUUUUUUCUUAUUUUUUGUUUUCGGUAAUAGUUUAUAGGUCAUGCUAAUAAAAUGAUGAUUGGCUACUCUCUUUUGUAAGUUGUACUUAAGAUAUUCAUCAAAAAUUAGUUAUAGAGGUUACAAUAAACUUGUUUCUCAAUCGAUUGAUACUUGGGUACAGGGGGAAGAUAAAGACAUGCAUUGUUUGUUCAUAAAUUUAUCCUUUUAUGAUUUAACCUGUUCUAAAAUAGGGUAUCUAUGUAUCUUAGUCUAUUUCAACAUCCUUGUUCUACUGUCUUUCUUCCACUUUGCAUCUUUUUACAGUUUUACAUACACAUCGCAUUGUUAUGCACUUUGCCCAUUAAUUUAGGAACUACAUACACUGUUAUCAAUCUAGUACUGACAAUGUGUUACUCUUUAUCAACUUGAUCAUUUGAUCCAUAAUGAUUGUUACACCAACACAUACUAUAACAUACAUCUAGUUUUAGGUAAUCUUUUAUAUUUUUUAAUAAUUAUUCACAAAUAAUAAUAAUUCACUCAUCAACUGAAUAAAGUCAUAGCUCAUGCAUUUUCUGAUUUUUUUUAUGUGAAGUUAUUUUUAAGAUUGUUGAUGAAGUAAAUGGCAUUGAUUAAGGCUAAUUACUUUUGUCAUUGUUUAUGGAGCUUAAUAUACUUUGACAUUGAGGCAAUGAUAGAUGGUGAAGUUUUUGCAGUUGGUCUUGUUAUUCUAGAUCACUAUAGCCUGCAUAAAAUAUAGGUUGAUAGUAGGGAUGUUUGUUGGGGUCACCCUAUUAGGGAUGCGAAUGGGAUAAGGGUUCCAGUGAUGUUUCCAUGGCAGACUAAGCAGCAAAUAUUACUAACUAAUAAAGACUUACUAGAGGCAUUUGAACAACUCAGAGUAAAGGGGUAUAGUUGGGCAAGAUUUAUGGUCACACUUGAUGAAGACUUUUUACCAUAUUUUUCUUCAAUGGUCCAACCAAGUGAAACAACAACAGAGGUGGUCCUAAAUUUGAAUGAAAUGAAACCUUAGCAGAUAAGUGCACACAACAAUUGAAUAAUGAUGUGGAAAUUGGAAACGAAAAGAAGGAAAAUUAUUUUAAGGCAUUUUUAGAUGAAUUUGAAUAUGAUUAUAAGGCUGAUGGCUCUGAUCUAGAUUAUGCUUUUAGAGAUGAAGGUAACAACUGUGAUGAUCUUGAAGACUACAAAUCUGGGGAUGAUAGUAGAGAUGAGUUAUAUGAUGAUAUUUUUUAAGAACAAGCUUGUAAUAGAUAUGAAAAGAGUGCUGGUGGUUUUGAGUUUAGUUCUGUUGGCUAUGAGAUAGUAUUGAGACCAUGACAAUUGUUUGUCAAUGUGUAGGAGUUUAAAAAAGUUUUGAAGGCGUUCGCAAUUAAGAAUGGAUUCAAACUGAAGAGGUUGAAAAUGAGAAGAUAAGAGUAACAUGUGUGUGUGCAGCACCAAAUUGCACUUGGAGAAUCCAUGCAAGUCCUAAUUAGAACCGAAGGUCGUUCCAAAUUAAGACCUACUGCCCAUGGCACACCUGUCCUGGAGUUGAUGACAAUUAUGAGGCAACUUUAGAUUGGAUAGUAGCCACAUAUUUGCAUAUAUUCAAAGCGAAUCCUAACUUGAAAAUUUCUGUUAUUGUGGUUGUUUUGAUGCAGAGUUAUAGAAUUGAAUGCAACAAUUAAAUGCUAUAUAAAGCUAAAAGGAAAGCACUUAAGUUACUCGGUGAAGACCACAAGACUAGUUACAGUAAAUUCUUUAGAUAUAUGCAUUCCUUAUUAAAUUUCAAUCCUAAUUCCACUGUCUGUCUUGAAAGGAUUGGCUUGGUGGUGCUCAAUUUCCCACAUUUAAGAGGUUCUUCUUGUGUAUAUAUAGAUAGUAGUAGAAAAGGGAUUUAAUUAAAGGUGUAUGCCAUUAAUUUGGGGUAACAGUUGUCACUUAAAAUGACUAUAUAAAAAUGUACUCCUAACAACUGUGAGCAUUGACGCAAAUAAUGGGAUUUAUCCUUUAGCUAUAUGUGUGGUUGAGUCUAAGAAUAAUGAGUAAUGACAAUAUUUUAUGGAGAAACUAUAUGAUCAAGUAGGUUGUAAUGGUGGUGAAGGUUUAUACUUUAUGAGUGAUAGACAAAAGGAUGUCCUCAAUGCCUUGGAUAGAGUGUUCCCUUUAUCAAUAAAGAGGUACUACUAUAGAUACAUUUAUGCAAAUUUUAAGAAAAAGUUUCCCCAACUUGUUACUGAAGAAAGUGUUCUGGAGAGCAUGUAGGAGUUCUAACGCUGCUGACUUUAAUUCCCACAUGGAAGAACUAAAGACUAUAACUCCGAAUGGCUAUGAAUGGUUGAUGAAAAUUCCCAUUGCAUGUUAGGCAAAUCGUUUGUUCCUCCCUCACACCAAAUGCAACCAUGUUACUAAUAACAUGAUUGAAUCCUUCAACAAUUGGAUCAACAAUUUCAGAGGUUUGCCAAUUGUAAAGAUGUCUGGGGAAAUACAAAGGAAAACCAUGCAGUUGAUUUAUAAAAGGCACGAGGCAGCCCUUGAAUGGAAUUGUGAGCUUCCAUAAGUUGUGAUAAGGAAGAUUAUUGAGAGAAGAGUAGAAGCAAAGUCACUCUCUGUCAUCUUUGGGCAUAAUGAGACAUUCGAGAUACUUGAAGACGUGACAAAGAUCACUGUUUUUGAUCUGUUGAGAAAGAAAUGUGACUAUGGUGAAUGGUGUAUUUCUGGAUUUUCUUGUAAACAUGCCCUCCGUUGCAUAUAUUCAAAGAAGUAUCAUGUGGAAGACUAUAUACAUCCAUAUCUUAAAAAGGCAGCUUUCAUUGAGACUUACAAACAUCAAUUUAAACCAACUCUUGAUGAGAAAAAGUGCCCACUCAUACUUUAUGACAAUUUGCAGCCACCAACAACUAUAAAGACAAUUGACAGACCUCAAACUAAGAGAAUGAAAGAAAAUGGUGAAUCUUCAACCUUCUAGAGAAGCUUAAAUGUAAGGUGCUUUCACUAUGACUAGUGAGGACAUAAUAAGAGAACUCGCCUAAGGACAGCUAGUGAUUAUGAGCAGAAAAAAGUUAUGGAAAAGGUAAAACAAUUUAUUAAAAUUAAUCUUAAUUUUAACAUAAAAUUACACCUGAUCACUGAAAUAAUUAAUAAUUUUUAUUUUACGAGGCACCAAUUGCUCAGACUAGUUCAGAUAUAAGAAAUAUAAUGAGCCAAACACAGUCAUCUGCCCAUGAUAAUGGUAAUAUUAAUGUUGGAAAUAUCUGUAGUGAAUAAACAAUCUUAAUUUUGUAGUUCUAUUGUCAUUAACCUUAAAGCAUCCGGCAAAUUUAAGAACAUAGAGCUAAGAAUAUAUGAGAAGAGAAAGCACGUUAUCUAACCCCAUAUUCUUUUUUUUUUUUUACAGGGAUCAGAUGAUGCAACACUUUUGCAAUACCCAAGCAUCAACAGAUGGUGUAUCAUCUCUUGUUCAUCUAACAUAUAAGUUUGCGUUCUUUUGAUUCAUAUUUUGUUGAAAUGUAGAAACUUUUAUACUAAUGCCAAAAAAUAGGUCAUAUAUGCCUUUCUUGACUUAAUUACAGCAACCUAUUAUGAUAGAUAGUUGCUUUAUUGCAUAUUUAUAUGGUGUGCUUAUGUCAAUUGUAAGGGUUAGGUGUGUUAUAAUCUAAGAAAAUGAAUGUUCAAAGUAAAUUUUUGCUAGAAUGUCAAUUAUAUUAUAGUUUGAUUUAAAUUUAUUGUUGUUGCCUAUUGUUUCUGCUCAUACAUUAAGAAUGGAUUCUAUUGUUGUUUCUUAUUAUUUUAAUAAUCUGCUGAUGUUGAGAUGAAGUUCAAUUGAUUCAUAGAAUAGAGGCUUAGUUUGGACAGUGAGCUGGUGAAAUAAUAGUUUAUUUUGAAGUGUCUUGGUUUGUCAAAUAUGCAAUUGUGCUUUAUAAUUGCUUCUUUGGUUUAAAUAGUCGGAGACUUUUUUGACUGAAAUUGACUGCCCAGUAAACAAUUGAUUGGAACUUAUUUUACAUGGAUUUGGUUUCACAAGUCUCUGAUCAUACAUUAGGAAUGGAUUUUGUUAUUGCUUAUUGAUAACUCUAUGAAAUGAGAGUUAUUAUGCCAAUUCUAGGCUUUAAAUCAAGAUCACUUAGAGAGUAAAUGAUGUGUUUCUAUUGCAUUUUUGUUACAUUUUGCAUAAAUAAUCAUUUUAGUUAGUUUUAAUAAGUUUUGCUCAAUUUAAAGUAAUUUGUGCUCAAAUUGUGUGCAUAAUUAUAGGUUUCCAGAGGCUUAUAAUUCAUGGAAGGAAUGCUAUGCAUUAGGCUUGGAAAAGUAAGGAAGAAUAUGGCCACAAAAGAAUUGAAACAAACCUGGAACAGUGCAGUUGCUGUAGCCGUUACUAUAGCAAUCCUGGAACAACAACAGAGAAAAUUAUGUGUCGGACAAUUCCAGAAUUAUGAUCUGCAGUUUCCUAAUCUGAUUUAUGCGCGUCCUAGACUUCUGUUUAUCCUAAUUUUCAGCUAUAAAAGGAGCACACAUCAUAAGGAAUAGAGAGGGCCGUCACCCAAGGAGAAAAACACAAAGAAACAAAAGAAAAACAAGAUUCAAGAGAGAGAUUAAGGGCUGCACAAGAGGAAAAAUUGCAGAGAUCAAUUGGGAGCUCAAUCAUUCUCUUGAUUUCGUGUUUUCUAUUUAUUCAUGGGGAUGUGUUUCAUGGCUGAAACUUUGUUCUUUAUUUUUCUUUUGCAAACCAUGAACUAAAUUUAUUUGUAGUUGAGUAAUAAACAAUCUUGAUAGUUUAUUGACUGAAUAUAUGUGUUGCUGCAUGUUUGCUGUAGCAGUUUGUUUUGAUAGUAUUUAUUUUUAUUCAUUAUUUCGGUUGAUCACCCAUUUAAUGAUACAAGUUAGGAGAGAGCUGCAAAAUGACAUAUCUUAGUGGAACAUAUCAUAGUAAUACUUGGUUUUAGAUUGAGCUUUUUGGAUUGAGUUUAACUUAUCCCAAAAGGGUCAUACUUAAUCUAAAAUUAGUGAUGAACUAGACAUAUGGAUUCACCUUGUAAGGUAAAUAGAACUUAAGCGUGUAAUGUUAUAUCUUAUGUUGGCAUAACAAUUGAUUACUGUUAGAUAGCAUAUAGAUAUAAGAUAUCCAACAUGCAACGGCUAAGGAUGCAUAAGGAUUCUGCCCAGUGCUGUAGCAGAUAUUGCAGCAACCGAGCCAAACAAUCAAUUUUCUCUCACCCAUUUAAGCAGGGUUCAAACUCCGUAUCCUUUUUUUUUUUUAAGAACAAGAGGUUUUACUAUCUCAAGUAGAUGGAAUGUACAAAAUAUGAAAAUGAAUUUAAUUUCAUAUUCUAUGUAGUUAAUGUUUUAUUAUUUUUUUGAAACAUAACAUUUAUUUAACAUACUAUCAAUUAUUUGAAUCUAUAAUGAAAAUAUAUUAGUUUACUAAUAAUAACAAAGUGUUAGUUUAAAAAUCUGCAAAAUCAUUUUUGUUUGCUUAAACAAGGACUUUUGUAUUGUCCAAAUUUGACAAUUUUGUGAUGUUGGAAUAUUGUGUUCAUGCUGAUAUAUUCAAAAGGUACUUGUGACAUAGGUCUUGACUUCUAGAGGUCUUGACUUCUAGAGGUCUUGGCUUCUAGAGACAUCACUGUAAUUGAAAAUUUGUAGGUGAAAGAGAAAUGUGUCAAAAUUUAAAAGUCCUUGGCUUUUUUGUUUUUAUAACAAAUAUCAAGACUCCAUUAUAAUUGACUUAGAAAAAGACAAAAAAGGGGUAACACACCUAUGUGCCAACAUAGUUUUGCCCUAUAUUAUGGGGAAAACUAAUAUUUAGGCUUUACCAUAUUAUUACUCCUAUUCAUAAUUAUCUAUCUAUUUGAUAAUCUUCAUCUUAAAAAUAAGAUAUAUUUUUAUGGUAUAUAUGGGUGUAUAAAUACUAAUGCUAUUAGUGUCAAUGUGCAAGUGUACACAACAAGUAAUAAAGUGAUGAAUAUUCAAGAUCGUCUCCACAGGGAUUGAUGUUAUUAGACUUGCUACAGCAAUCUCAACAGUGCAGAUUUUGUGUCUAAAUUAAGAUAAACAAUUGAUGAAAUUAAUUUACUAAUUAAAAUAAAAACACAAUAAAUAAAAUGCAACAAAGUAAAUAUCACAUCAAUCUCAAGGAUAAAAUCAAUGGGAAUAUAAAGUAGUUGAGUGAAUAAACUCUUUUAAUGGUCUUGAUUAUUUUUUUAAUGUUUGGUUCAGUUGCUACAGCAUUUUCUACAGCACUAGGCAGAAUCCUUAUGUAUCCUCAGCCGUCGCAUGUUGGAUAUCUUAUAUCUAUAUGCAACCUAACAGUGAUCAGUUGCUAUGCCAACAUAAGAUAUAGCAUUACACGCUUAGGUUCUAUUUACCCUACAAGGUGAAUCCUUAUGUUUAGUUCAUCACUAAUCUUAAAUCAAGCGUGACCCUUUUGGGACUCAAGUAAAACUCAAUUGGGGAAACUUAAUUUAAGAUCAAGUAUUGUUCUGAUAUGUUCCACUAAGAUAGGCCCUUUUGUGGCUCUCUCAUAACUUGUAUCAUUAAAUAGGUGAUCAACCGAAAUAAUGAAUAAAAAUAAAUACUAUCAAAACAAACUGAUACAGCAAACAUGUAGCAACACAUAUAUUCAAUCAAUAAACCAUCAAGAUUGUUUAUCACUCAACCACAAAUAAAUUUAGUUAAUGGUUUGCAAAAGAAAAAUAAAGAACAAAGUUUCAGCCAUGAAACACAUCCCCAUAAAUAAAUAGAAAACGAAAAAAUAAGAGAAGAAUAAGAAUGAUUGGGCUCCCAAUUGAUUUCUGUAAAUUCUCCUCUUGUGCAGCCUUUAAUCUCUCUCUAGAAUCUUGUUUUUCUUUUGUUUCUUUGUGUUUUUCUCCUUGGGUGACGGCUCUCCUAUUCCUUAUGAUGUGUGCUUCUUUUAUAGUUGAAAAUUAUGGUAAACGGAAUCCUAGGGCACGCAUUAGUCAGAUUAGGAAACUGCAGAUCGCAAUUCUGCAAGUAUCCCGCAUAGAAUUUUCUCUGUCGUUGUUCCAGGAUUGCUACAGCAACUACACUGUUCCAGAUUUGUUUCAAUUCUUUUGCAGCUAAGUUUUUCCUCAUUUUUACAAGCCUAUUGCAUCAACAUUCAUUCUAUGAAUUACAAGCUUAUGGAAACCUACAAUUAUGCACACAAUUUAAGCACGAAUUACUUUAAAUUAAGCAAAACUCAUUAAGACUAAACUAAAAUGAAUAUUUAUGCAAAAUGUAACAAAAAUACAAUAUAAACACAUCAUUUACUCUCUAAGUAAUAUUAAUUUAAGUCUAAAAGUGCUAUGAUAACUCUCAUUUCAUAGAGUUAUCACACCCCCAAACUUAAAUCAUUACUUGUCCUCAAGUAAUGACAACAACGCUAACAUUUCAAUCACACAGUCAUGCAACAAAUAACUUAGCUCUGUCAUCAAAUUUGCAAGAAUUCUUCCACCCUCAGAUCACAUUCUUAAUUACGCAAAAUAGCCUUAGCAGUUCAGUUUUAGACUUAUGCCUCAUUAUGUCCAAAGUGUGUGUGUGCCACUUUGAUCAAAUUCCAGAGGUGCUACAACAUUAUAGAGACAUUGCAUAUAAUUCAAAGGUAGAACAAAUAUAUUCACAUUUGGGGGAGCAGAAAUCACAAAUAUACUCAAACUGUGCUACUACAGUAAUAAAAAAAUUUUUCAGUUAAACCCUUCAAUGCAACAUUGAGCUUUCAUGUGAAUGUCUAUCACUUGCAAUGACGACACCCAAUUACUCAUUCAAAUUACAUGUCAGUGUUGCUACAGCAACACAUUUAGGAUGUUAUAUCUAGGUCUUACCUUUGGACGUCUUUGACUCAAGGCUGAACAUGAGGCUCAUGAACAAAUCAGGUUACUCAGUAUCUUAGGUAGCAGACCUCUUUAUUUUUUAUUCCUUCAUCACAAUUUUUUUUUUUUGCUUUGCUUUUUGCUUUUAUUAUAUACAUAUAAUUACUGCAGCACUGCUCAUAACUCUUGUUGCCUUUGGACUCAAGUUUGCAUAUGGGGUGCAUACUCAACAACUUAAACCAUUGGAGUAGAAUUUAUUUCAUAACAGGCACAAUCCAACAAAAAUUUUCCCCCAAACUUAAGAUAUUUUCUACCCUUUUUUUGGCUUUCCUCGCUCUCUACAGCAUUCUCAUAAAACGCAACCAAAGUCUAAGUGUCGGGACAGAAAUUCAACCUCUAUCUAUAACUAUCUCUACUUGGCAUUCCCAUAAAUACUGAAUAACACUCAAUUUAUCUUCAUUAGGUUUUCAAAUCCAUAUAAAAAUAUUAGAUAACAGAGCUUCACACAACACACAACACAAACAUAAACACAUGCACUCAGAAACACAACCCCCCCAAACUUGAGUGGUGUUGUGUCCUCACGAGCACACAAAACAAAACCAUAUAAAUUAGACAUGCAUACACUAAAUAAAAGAACAUGUAGAAUGAAUUAAAAAAUAAAAACUAAAUAAAAGAAGAGUUUUAUAGAAAGAAGUAAAAUAAACUAGCAGGUAGGGAGGUACUCCCCUGUUGCUGGAAGCACUACUGCAGCGUAGGUUGUAAAGGGUCACUUCUUCUGUGAUCCACUUCUCAAAGGCUCCUUAUCAUAAAAUCUGAUCAAUUCAUUUGCUGCUGUAAAAGCAAGAAUGCCUCUGUUGUUUGAGAAUCUUCUGUUAUGUCAUACUGCAAGUGAUGCUGCAACAAUUCCCUCUUGCUCUUUUUGCCCACACAUUUUUUUUUUUUACUUGCUGCAAUGUAACAUAAAGACAUAAAAAAUUAGAUGCACACUUAAAAUAAUAAAAAGACAAAUUAAAAAAUUUAAAAGCUAAAUUCAAUGCCAUAAAAACUUGAAACAACUUCCCUUAUUGGGUUGCCUUCCAAUUAGCGCUUGAUUUUAGGUAUUUCAGCCUAACCUUUCUUGUUUCCUCAACCUGGAUCCUUCAAGAACCGAUCAUUCUUUAGGUUGUUCAUAUCAUCUCUCAUAUAGUACUUCACUCUCGGCCCAUUAACCUUGAAUUCUUGUUGGUUUGGAGUAAGUCCCCUUUGCUGGAUUUGCUCGUCAAUUCUAAACGGUUGCUUCUCCCCUGACCAUGCUAUGUUGGCUGCUCCAUGAUUUUCAUCAUCAAGUUCUUCAAAUGUUACAACAUUGAUUUCUUCCUUACUACAGCAACUGUGUAAUCUCUCUGCUACAAUAAAGUCCACAAUACUGAUAAAAUUACAAUCUUCAAUCUCAUCAGGACUCUUCAUGGCAUCCAGCACAUUGAAUGUAACUUGCUGGUCAUUUACCCUCAUGGUUAAUUCUCCUUUUUGAACAUCAAUUAAAGUCUUUCCCGUGGCUAAAAAAGGUCUCCCUAAAAUGAUUGGCACUUCUUUGUCUGCCUCAAAGUCUAGCACAAUGAAAUCCACUGAAAAAAUAAAUUUAUCUACCUUCACCAACACAUCUUCAAUCUUCCCUUCUGGAUAGACAUGAGAUCGGUCAGUAAGUUGUAGAGUCACUGUUGUUGGUCUACAUUCACCAACUCUCAAUUGCUUAAACACUAAUAAAGGCAGGAGAUUGAUGUUAGCCCCCAGAUCACAAAGUGCUUUACCACUGUAUUCAGUGCCUAUGGAGCAUGGAAUUGUGAAGCUUCCUAGAUUCUUCAUCUUCUGUGGUAUUUUACUCUUAAGCAUUCGGCUGCACUCUUGUGUUAGAGCAACUAUCUCAAAUUCUCCAAGUCUUAUUUUCUUUGUCAAGAUAUCCUUAAAAAUUUUUGUAUAAGUUGGCAUUUGCUCUAGAGCUUCCACAAAAGGGAUAUUGAUAUGUAGUUGUUUCAGCACUCCCAAGAUUUUGCUGAACUGCUUGUCUUAUUUUUGCUUCUGAAACCUUUGAGGAAAUAGUGGUGGAUGUCUAAACUGUUGUGCUGCAGCAGGUUGUGCAGAUUGCUUCUCUUUUGCUCUACUCGGCUCUGUUGCUGUUGGUGUUGUAGCUUCCUCGCCACCAGGUGCUGGAUCAUAACUUUCUGCAGAUGCUGUAGCAGAAUUAUGUUUAUUUGCAUUCUGAAAAGUGGAAGACUGUGACUUUUUCUCUACUUAAGUGUCUUCUUAGCCUUGGUUGGACUCAAUUCUUCUGUUUGGUAUACCAAUUAAACUAUCAGCCUCCUUUUCAGAUCUCAAGUUUAUCACUUUGUAGUGCUCUUUCCCUUCUCUUCUUGGGUUCUCUAUGUUGCUGGGUAAACUGCCCUAAGGUCUAUUACUUACUGUUGUAGCAAGCUGUCCAAUUUGAUUUUCUAAGUUUCUCAAAUAUGCAGCAUGACUUUGGACAACCGUUUCAUUCUUCACAAUAUAAUCCUUAAUUAAACCUUCAAGAGAGCUGAGUUGAUCAUUGUUGAUGCUUAUUUUCUCUUGAUUUUGCUGAUAAAAUCCAGCUGGUUGAGCAAGUUUGUUCUGUCCACUGGAUGCUGCAGUAGUCUGGUUCUGAUAACUCCAUGAAAAGUUCGGGUGUUGUCUCCAUUCAGGGUUGUAAGUGUUUGAAUAUGGAUUGUCCUGGUUUUGUCUAUUGAAGCUGCUCACAUAAUUGACUGAAGUUGGAUUCCCAAGACAAUUGUCAAAUAAAUGCCCUUUUCCACAAUAAACGCAUGACACAUCAGAAAUUUGGUUAACAGUUGCUAAAGCAGUGGUCAUAGCCUUUAUCAUCUUUGUUAAUAAAGUUACUUGGGCUGACAAUGAUGUCAAGGCAUCUACGUUAUGGACUCCUGUUGUUCCUCUUACUGCAGCUUGUCUGGUUGAUGGCCACUGAUAGUUAUUGUUGGCUAUCCUCUCCAAAAUUUCAUAAGCCUCAUUGUAAGACUUAGAUAACAAGGCUCAAUUUGCUGAAGCGUCCACCAUCAAUCUAGUGCUUGGCUUAAGACUAUUAUAGAAAGUUUCCAACUGUAUUCAGUAAGGAAUACCAUGAUGAGGACAUCUUCUGAGUAACUCCUUAAAUCUUUCACAUGUAUCAUACAAGCUCUCAUCUUUAAGUUGAUGGAAAGAUGUAAUCUCAUUCCUCAAUUUUGCAUUCUUGGUUGGUGGGAAGUAUUUCAUCAAAACUUUAUCAGCCAAGUCAUUCCAUGUAGUGAUAGAAUCUGGUGGUAGAGAAUUCAACCAUGCUCUUGCUUGAUCUUUCAAAGAAAACGGGAAAAGUCUAAGUCUCAACGCUUGUUGCGAUGCUCCAGCAAUCUUGAAAGCAUCACUUACUUCCAAAAAUAACUUAAGGUGUAGAUGAGGAUCUUCGAAUGGCAAACCAUUAAAUUGCCCCACUGUUUGAAGCAUCUGAAACAUCACGGGUUUGAGUUCAAAAUUUUCAGCUUGAACAUCGGGUUUAACUAUUCCUGGAUGUAUGGCUUGAGGAGUCAACACUGUGUAGUCUUGAAUGGCUCUAUCUCUAUCAUUCGCCAUGUGAAUAAUGUUGUUGUUCCCUGGUUGCUUUUGAACACAAUGUCCAUUCAGACCUUCAUGUACAUCGACUGGUUGUAUCUCCUCUAUACGGUUCACGUUUCUCAAAUCUUACAAAUCAUUCAUUGCUACAGCAGCUUGUAAUUCCCAAUGCUCUCUUCUCAAUCUCCUUGCAAUUCUUUCAAUUUCUGAAUCAAACUGGAAUUCAACAAAUUUAUAUUUGCGCAUGCAAGGGUUGCUAGAUCACCUAUGUCAACAAAAUAAACAAAGUAAAAUAAAAUAAAAAAUUAGCACCAUUAAAACUAAUUUCACAAAUCACAAUGAACAAUCAAUCCCCGGCAACGGCGCCAAAAACUUGUUGGUGUAUAAAUACUAAUGCUAUUGGUGUCAAUGUGCAAGUGUACACAACAAGUAAUAAAUUGAUGAGUACUCAAUCUUGUCUCCACAUGGAUUGAUGUUAUUAGACUUGCUACAGCAAUCUUAACAGUGCAGAUUUUGUGUCUAAAUUAAGAUAAACAAUUGAUGAAACUAAUUUACUAAUUAAAAUAAAAACACAAUAAAUAAAAUGCAACAAAGUAAAUUAUCACGUCAAUCUCAAGGAUAAAAUCAAUGGGAAUAUAAAGUAGUUGAGUGAAUAAACUCUCUUAAUGGUCUUGACAAUUUUUUUAAUGUUUGGUUCGGUUGCUACAGCAUUUUCUACAGCACUAGGCAGAAUCCUUAUGUAUCCUCAACCGUCGCAUGUUGGAUAUCUUAUAUCUAUAUGCAACCUAACAGUGAUCAGUUGCUAUGCCAACAUAAGAAAUAGCAUUACAUGCUUAGGUUCUAUUUACCCUACAAGGUGAAUCCUUAUGUCUAAUUCAUUACUAAUCUUAAAUCAAGCAUGUCCCUUUUGGGACUGAAGUAAAACUCAAUCCGAGAAACUCAAUUUAAGAUCAAGUAUUGUUCUGAUAUGUUCCAUUAAGAUAGGCCCUUUUGCGGCUCUCUCCUAACUUGUAUCAUUAAAUGGGUGAUCAACCGAAAUAAUGAAUAAAAAUAAAUACUAUCAAAACAAACUGCUACAGCAAACAUGCAACAACACAUAUAUUCAGUCAAUAAACCAUCAAGAUUGUUUAUCACUCAACCACAAAUAAAUUUAGUUCAUGGUUUGCAAAAGAAAAAUAAAUAACAAAGUUUCAGCCAUGAAACACAUCCCCAUAAAUAAAUAGAAAACGAAAAAAAAACAAGAAAAGAAUAAGAAUGAUUGCGCUCCCAAUUGAUUUUUGCAAAUUCUCCUCUUGUGCAGCCCUUAAUCUCUCUCUUGAAUCUUUUUUUUUCUUUUGUUUCUUUGUGUUUUUCUUCUUGGGUGACGGCUCUCCUAUUCCUUAUGAUGUGUGUUUCUUUUAUAGUUGAAAAUUAGGGUAAACGGAAGCCUAGGGCAAGCAUUAGUCAGAUUAGGAAACUGCAAAUCGCAAUUCUGCAAGUAUUUCGCACGAAAUUUUCUAUGUCGUUGUUUCAGGAUUGCUACAGCAAGGCUGCUACAGCAACAGCUACAACAACUGCACUGUUCCAGAUUUGUUUCAAUUCUUUUGUAGCUAAGUUCUUCCUCAUUUUUGCAAGCCUAUUGCAUCAACAUUCCUUCCAUGAAUUAUAAGCUUCUGGAAACCUACAAUUAUGCACAUAAUUUAAGCACGAAUUACUUUAAAUUAAGCAAAACUCAUUAAGACUAAACUAAAAUGAAUAUUUAUGCAAAAUAUAACAAAAAUGCAAUAGAAACACAUCAUUUACUCUCUAAUUAAUAUUAAUUUAAGUCUAAAAGUGCUAUGAUAACUCUCAUUUCAUAGAGUUAUCAGUAUGAUUAUUAUUUUAAAUUUUUACUUCUUUAUUUUUCUACUACUCCCCCCCCCCCCCCCCCCAAAAUCAAUGCUUUCCCUUUUCCAAAAUUACUCAAUAAAAAUUGUUAACAUAAGAUUGUCAGAGAUUACUUUUAGUAUUCUAUCGGUGAUAUCAUUCUAUUUUUCUAUUUUUAAUUACUAUUGUUCUUAUUUUUUAAAAUUUAAUUUAUUUUUAUUUUUAUUGAUUUAUGGCUUGAAAUAAUCUAAAAAAAGAUUGGGUUUGUUUAUUGUCUUGUUAUUUAUAUUUGAAAAACUUGUCAACUAGGAAAAACAUGCAUUAGGAUAUGAAAAAACUAAUUAAAAAAAAAGAGGGUAGAAAAACUAGUCCAAUCUCAAAAAUCUAAACACUUCCUCGGUUUGAAAAUAAUUUAAAUAUUUCUUUAUUAAAAUAAGCUAAAAUAAAUAUUUUGUCUUUUUUUCUCUCUGUAAUAUCGCACAUGGACAACAGUAGAGGCGGCAAUUCGAGUUAAUGGAUCGUGUUCAUGUUGUGUCAUCAAAUUUGAGCUAACCCAAGCCUAACUCAUUUAUUAAUUGUGUAAAGAAUCUCAACCCUAGCCGAUCCAUUUAUUAUCGUGCUAUAAUUGUGUUACUUAUUUAACAAAAUCUCAAUUUUCAAUAAAAAAAAAUAUUUUCAAUAUGUUUUUAUAUUUUCUAUAAAUCUUGGGGUGCUAUCCUGUUAAACUCUAAUCAAUUUUAUUUUAAAUACAAAUAAUUGAUUUUAAAAAAUAUGAAAGUUCAACAUUUAUCUAUCGAUAAAAUACAAGUCAAGUAGUAUAAUUAAUUGUGACAUAAAUAAAUUAUCAUAUGUAAAACCGAACCUAAUACAGUUAUUAAUCGAGUUGACAGUUCGGAAGAGCUAGUAAAUCCAUUCAAGUUGGAUAUUCAAGCAUCUUAUCCAAAUAGAUUGGAUAAUAUCCAUCCAAAAUACUCUGGAUUUGGUUUAUCUUAUGUUCAUCCAUGAACUUGAUUAUUAUUAAUAUUUAGGUAUAUGAGACUAAAAUUGAAUAUUAUAAUUAAUAUUUAAGUUUUGUAAAUUAAAUGAAAAAUUAAAAUAACCUUGCCGAAAAUUAUUGCACCAACGAUGACAAUGAUGGCACCAUCAUCAAAAAAAUAGAAGUGAAUGAACAAAAACACAAAUACUAUCAACAUAUUUGAAAUUCUCCUAUCUAUGUAAUGGAGGCAACGUUGCCAGAUAAAUGGAUGUCUAGGGAUGGAUGCGCCUUCCAAUACAAAUAGUCGUAGCAAGACCAUCAUGAUUAGGCGGCAUUUCAAGGUUCACCACUACAUUUAACAACCAAAUUGAUGGUCUCUAAAUUGGAAAAAGGUGAUAGUGUAAUGUAACACACUAUGGUUUGUGGCGUAAUUAUGGUGAUAGUCACUUUUGGAAGGUGCAACUUUGCACAUCACCAUUUUCUGACUUUGAGACCAUCAUUAUGUAGAUAAUCCAAUUUCAAGUCCAAUGGUACCCUUCACAACCCUCUUCAAUCAAUAACAAUAAUGUCAUGGUCGACAAUGGAGCAGUGACUGCCAGCAAUUAUCUAUAUUUUUAAUGAAAAUUAUUGAUUUACAAUUAAUUAAAAAAUAAGAGUAAUGAAUUUUGUUUUGUUAUUAUGUUUCUAUAUCAAAAAUAAUUUUAAUUACCUUUUAAUAUUAAUAAUUUUAGGAAAUUCAAUAAAAAUGAAUAAUUUUUUUUGUAAAACACAUUAAUUAGUUUUUCAUAUUAUAAAAUGUAUAGUAUUUAUAAUAAAAUUAAAUAUCAAUGUCUACCCAUGGAUAUCCAUAUUCAUAUUCGAUAAUUAUGUAUUUUUACAAUGGAUGAAUAAUCACUAUAUCCAACUAGAUUUUGCAUCCUUAAUUGAUAGAGAUAUGACCAAUUAAAUAAUUGUGUCAAAUUAACUACUCAAAUAUAUUUUCUUGUGUUAUAUUCUUAUCAGGUUAAUGGGUUAGCGUCAAACAAUAGCAUCAUGACUAUGAUCAAUUUUUUUUUUAAUUUGAUAGUGAAAUGUAUUUUUUCCCCCCAAUUCUAGUCAAUUAAGCAUUGACUUCUCUUCAUUUAUUGCAAUAACAGAACUUGUAUUGUCCAAAUUUGACAAUUUUGUGAUGUUAGAGUAUUGUGUUCAUACUGAUAUAUUCAAAAGGUGCUUGUGACAUAGGUCUUGGCUUCUAGAGGUCUUGGCUUCUAGAGGCAUCACUGUAAUUAAAAAUUUGUAGGUGAAAGAGGAAUGUGUCAAAAUUUAAAAGUCCUUGGCUUUUUUGUUUUUAUAACAAAUAUCAAGACUCCAUUAUAGUUGACUUAGAAAGAGACAAAAAAAGGGUAACAAACCUAUGUGCCAACAUAGUUUUGCCCUAUAUUAUGGCAAAGCUAAUAUUUAGGCUUUACCCGAUUAUUACUCCUAUUCAUAAUUAUCUAUCUUAUUUGAUAAUCUUCACCUUAAAAAAUAAGAUAUAUUUUUUAUGGUAUAAUCAUUAUUUUAAAUUUUUACUUCUUUAUUUUACUACUACUACCCCCCCCCCCCCAAAAUAAUCAAUGCUUUCCCUUUACAAAAAUUACUCAAUAAAAAUUGUUAACAUAAGAUUGUCGGAGAUUACUUUUAGUAUUCUAUCGGUGAUAUCAUUCUAUUUUUCUAUUUUUAAUUAUUAUUGUUCUUAUUUUUUAAAAUUUAUUUUAUUUUUUUAUUGAUUUAUGGCUUGAAUAAUCUAAAAAAAAAGAUUGUGUUUGUUUAUUUGCUUGUUAUUUAUAUUUGAAAAACUUGACAACUAGAAAACAUGCAUUAGAAUAUGAAAAACUAUUUAAAAAAAAAAGGAGGGUAGAAAAACUAGUCCAAUCUCAAAAUGGAGCUCUUAAUAAAUUUGUCACAACUAGUCAAAAAGGUAUAGAUCUAACUGAAAAAUUAGUUAUUGAACAACUAACUUCAAAUGAAUUAAGCAAUGAUGAAAUAGUGAAUGAAAUAAACAACAGUGAAAAUGAUAAAAACAAAAAUCCAAACAAAAUUGAUGUACCAAAUUUAUUUGUUACAAAUAAUGUAUGCUCCAGGAAAAUGGGAAAAUGUUGAUACAAAGUUAAGAAAAUCUUUUAGUAUAAAAAAGCACAAUUAAAGACAAUAUCAUAACUUUCACAAAAGAUGAAAAUUCAAGGCAUUUCUCUGCUGUAUUUUAUGUUAAAAUGCUACCAAAUGGAGAAAAAUAUGAUAGGAAAUGCUUGGUAGAUUCAAAAGAUUUUGACAAAGUAUAUUGUUUUUGUUGCAAAUUAUUCAAUACAAGUUGUAGCAAAAAUCAGCUUGAUGAUGAAGGCACAAGAGAUUGGAAAAAUCUUAGCUCUAAACUUAGAGAUCAUGAAACAACCAAUGAACAUAUAAUUGAUAAAGAUGUUCAAGAAUAAAUUGAUAAGGAAAAAGAACUUUGGAAAAAAGUACUAAUAAGAAUUAUUAUUGUUGUAAAAAAAUCUUUUUAAAAAUAAUUUAGCAUUUCAUGGAAAAAAUGAGAAGAUCUAUGAAGAGAGAAAUUGAAAUUUUUUAAGUUUAAUUGAAAUGAUUGUAAAAUUUAAUCCAACAAUGCAUGAACAUAUUCAACAUAUUAAAAUCGGUGAAGUUAAAGAUCAUUAUCUUGGAUAUAUAUACAAAAUGAGCUGAUAUUGAUUCUAGCACUUGAAAUAACAGUUGUCACUGACAGGUUAAGAUAAGCUACCAAAUUGGCACUUAAAGGAAGAAAUUCUAGUAUUAGUGUCAUAUUUUAUGCCAUAUUAUGUAAGCAUAUUAGUAAUGAUUUCUUCAUAAUAUCGCAGAUAUAUAAAAGUUCAUCCUAGCUAGAUACAUUGUAGAUUUUGUAAGAAUUAUUUUAUUCCGUCCAAAUGAGUUCACAUUAUUAUCCAAUUUUCCUUUUUUUUAAGUUGAUUUAUGAAAGAAAAAAAAAAAUGACACCAAUGUUUUCCACGUCGCCGCAAGUCUCAUCGAUAAAAGUCCAUUUACAAAUUAGUUCAUAAUUCUUUUUGUAACUUCGCUAAAAGCUAGUCAAGUCAUUGCUAGCAAGCCUCAAAAGCACGAAGUACGCGAAUCACGGCGAUAACUGAUAAUAACUUGGUUGUCCGGUUUCGCAUACUAAUUAGCUUGAUUAAAAAUCGUGAAGUAUGGGGCACGACUAACGCAACGCAUACGUCUCAUGCAUUAGGCAAAUAUUGUACGGGACCCAUGUUGAGAGCACAAAUCCACUAUCUACAAGUACUAUAUAUAGAGCUGCAAUGCGUGCUUCAAGUAUUCACAACUUACCCCCAGCUGGCUAGCUAGCCUCUAUAAUUUGAGGGGAAAAAAAAAAAAACCAACCUUGUUCAACUUGCAAAUACCUACCAAUUAUUAUGGAGAAAAGCUUUGAUAUCAUUGCCCUGUCUAUGAUCAUUCUGGUGACUUAUUCAUCUAAAAUGGUGUCGGUCGCCGGCCGGUCGCUGCAUGAACCAUCCAUUGUUGAGAAGCAUGAAAAAUGGAUGGCUGAGCAUGGGCGCACUUACAAGGACGACCUGGAGAAGGAAAUGCGGUUUAAGAUAUUCAAAGAAAACCUUGAAUACAUUGAGAAAGCCAAUGAGGAGGCGAAUCGGACGUACAAGUUAGGCACCAAUGAAUUUUCAGACUUAACUAAUGAGGAGUUUCGUGCUUCAUAUACAGGAUACAGGGUGCCAAGCCAGUCAUCUUCAUCACGGCAAUCCACAACAGCAUCCUUCAAGUAUCAAAACCUGACUGACGUUCCAACUAGCAUGGACUGGAGAGAGAAAGGAGCUGUCACUCCUAUUAAGAACCAAGGUCAAUGUGGUAAGUAAAUCGUAUACUAAAUAUUUAUGAAGUAACUAUAAUAGAUUAUUUAGCCUCCAACCUCUUUCAGAACUCAAACUCAAUUGACCAUCAGCUAAUUAAUAAAAACAGCUUGACAACCGUCUGCCAAACCCCUGCUGGGGCAUGUUUCAUGUAACUUAAUCAAGCUUUUUUUUUUUUUUCUUAAUAUGUACGAUGCAGGAGUCUGUUGGGCAUUUUCAGCUGUGGCGGCGGUGGAAGGGGUCACUAAGAUUAGUGGUGGUAAUCUUAUUCCACUUUCGGAGCAGCAAAUACUAGACUGCUCAAUAGAUGGUAACCGUGGAUGCGAUGGCGGUUGGAUGGACAAUGCCUUUAAAUAUAUUAUAAAAAACCAGGGUAUUGCCACAGAAGCGGAUUAUCCAUACAAGGAAGUCCAAGGAACUUGUGAAGACGCACAGGUCAAGGUAGCUGCUAAAAUUAGUAACUUUGAAGAUGUAAAACCCAAUGAUGAGCAGGCUUUACUCCAAGCUGUAGCCAUGCAGCCAGUAUCAAUUUGCAUUGAAGGAAGUGGACCAGACUUCCAGAGCUACAAAGGCGGUAUUUUUAACCGAGGAUGUGGAACUCAGUGUUCUCAUGCUGUUGCUAUCGUUGGAUUUGGGGCAACUGAAGAUGGAAUGAAGUAUUGGUUAAUUAAGAAUUCAUGGGGGGAGAAAUGGGGUGAGGCCGGCUACAUGAGGAUUCUCAGAGAUGUUGAUGCACCUGAAGGUCUUUGUGGCAUUGCCACUAAACCUUCCUACCCAGUUGCAUGAGUAGCAGUAUUUUAUAUUAUAUUAUUAUUAGCCGCCUCUUAAUAAUGAUGUCUUCAAGCCUACACAUGCAUUAGCCUCGAAAGGCUUAUACGAACCGUAUGAAUCGUAUGAUUCUGUGGUUUUAUCUAUGUUGAGUAUUUCAUAAGUUGUAAUUGAACGCCAAUAUUUGGUAUUAGUUAAUGUUAAAUCUCUCAUUUAAGUAUAAGUUUGAUCUUUUCAAUAAUUAGUCGUUUACAUUUAAUGCCACAGAUACUCAGUUCAACCAAGAAAUACAAAGUUUAUAUCUCAGUUACUCUGAUAUUUUAUGUGGCAUAUUAUAUGUCGUUCAUUGAUUAAAUUGUAAGAAUAGUAUGUAAAUAAUUAAUAAUAAAUUUAUUUAUUAUCAUUUAUGAGACAAUAAAUGAUUAGUGGUACAAUAACUAAAAUACAAACUAUGUAUCCCAGUUCAAUAAACAUAACAUUACUGAUAAUUAAUAUUAUUCAUUUAAGAAAUAUAUAUUGGUCAAUGAAAUUAAUGCAAGACAAAAAGUAACUGAAUUUUGAUUACACGCUUGAUGUCUGGAAGUACAAUGUUUAUGAAUUUGUGUAAGUUGUUUUAGGUCGAAUUUUUAAGUUAAUCAAACCAAUAUACACACACUAACUUUUAAAGUUCGAGUGGAAUUUGCCCGCUUUAAUUGGGGUCUCAUACAGCAAAAAAAAAUUGGCAAUCUUGAAUUUCUUUUUCUAAUUACUUAUAAAAAUUUAAAGGCUUGGUAAUUUCCCUCCACCAAAUUCUGUCUUUAUUCCUAAGUAAAUCAGUGGCUAGAACACUUAGCUACUCAUUUCCAGAUGAAAAAAACUUCAUAUAUUGCAACCAGAAAUGUUAGUCACAUAUAAUUAAGAACUUAAAAAAAGAAAAGAAUUAUAUUUCCCAUUUUAACUAUACUCUGUGACUAUCACUUUUAGUUUUCAAAUGGUUGUUUUAGACGUUUAGUGAUUAAAAUCAUAGUCGUUGAAGUCUUUUACUCACUAAAAAAAAUGAUCGCAUAAAAUCCAAUUAAUUGGUCUGGUUUUUGUGACUAAUCGCUGAUUCGUUAUAUAAUGAAACAUUCGGUGACUUAAAAAAAUAGUCACAAAACAUGGACCAUGGUAGUAAAAUAACACAGAUAUAUGAACUGCAAAUUCCGUGAAUAAAAACUAAUAGUAGUCGUGGAAUAAUAUAUUAGGUGGUUAAGUUUUAUUUAGUCCUAAAAUAUUAUUUUUCUUUUAUUGUGAUCAUAUGAGCGACAUCACUCACGUGAUCACUACUCUACUUUAAUAUACUUUCAAAACUCUUAUAUUUUGUGCAUCUAUUUAAUAAAAUUUAAAACUUAAAUUUUAGUAUUAACACAUUUUUAAUUUUUAAAAAUAAAUAUGAAAACACUCCUCAUUAAACCUUUUCAUUAGAAACUUUGUUUCCGUUCGAUACAUUUCACAAUGUAUUGUCUUUUUAUUUUUAAGUUGUUUUUUUUUACAAUCUUCACGUUUGAUUUGUCUUUGUUAUUCUCUUCAAACUGAGAAUCUUUUAUAAUGUUCAAUGUUGAUCCAAUCCUUUUCAUUGAUUUUUCUUAUAUUUGAUAUUGGCCAAUUCACUAUAUUUAAUUAUAAGACUGGUUCUUUUAUAAUGUUCAAUGUUGAUGCCAAUCUUUUUCAUUGAUUUUUCUUAUAUUUGAUAUUGGUCAAUUCACUAUAUUUAAUUAUAAGACUGGUUCUUUUAUAAUGUUCAAUGUUGAUGCCAAUCUUUUUCAUUGAUUUUUCUUAUAUUUGAUAUUGGCCAAUUCACUAUAUUUAAUUAUAAGACUGGUUCUUCUCAACUUUAAUUUCCUCCUUCAUGAUUUCUCUGUCUUUGUUUCAAUCACGUUUAAAACAAAAGAUAAUUUGUGUAUUGAUGCAUGACUUUUCCAAUCAAUUCCGUUAACCAGAACAAGUUGAGAAGUUAUGAGCCAUAGCUAGUUUCUUGAUCAUAUGCUACUGAGCUUUCUCUAAUUAGUCCCCAGAAACGUUUCUACGGGAACACUAAUUUGAUUUUCCGGGGACAACGUUAAUUUGUUAAAACCUAAUUAUUUUUACAGUAGAUUACAUUAAUUUUCAGGUUGAAAAGAUAGGAUAAUUUUACCUCCAAUGGCUGUAAAAAGAAGUAAUUAUUUCGUUAAGAGUACAGUGGUGUUAUACAUUUUAAAAUUUGAUUAUAUAUGAUGUGGUAUUCAUUUACUGGUUGGUGAAAUAAUUUAAUUAACUUACUUAGAAUUAAGGGUUUAUACAUUGAAUUGUCUUAAUAAAGUAAAAUUUUAUAAAAAAAUAUAUAGUUGUUUGGAGUAGAAUUUUAGCAAAAUCAAAUAGUUGUUUUGUGGUAGGAUUGAGCUUUUUUUUUUUUUUUGGGUGAAAAUUUAACAUUAGAGGUAAUAAAGUAUUACAAAAUAUAUAAAAGACUUAGAGUGGUGUUUGGUUGAAAGGAGAGGAAGGGGAAAGGAAAGUAAUUUAAGUUCCAUUCUUGUUUUCGUUGUUUGGUUAACCAUAAUUUAUAAGAAUUUAAUUUUCAUUACAAUUUAAUAUACAUUAUAAUGUAGAAUUUAGAUUCCACACCAAAAAGUGAUAAAUUUAAAUUCCUCUAAAAGCUAAAACAUCUAAAAUUACCCCUUCAAAUCUUUUGUUAACUUUGUUUAAAAUUAUCAAAUUAUUAUUAUUUACAAUUUUAUUUUAUCAAUUUAAUAUUGUAGAUGAAUAACUUUAUAUUAAUAAAAGUUAAAGUAAGGAUUUAAUAAAAUCACUUUAUUAUUUAAUUAAUUUACAAAAAUAGAAAAUAAAUUUAAUAGUUGUCGGACUGCACUGCUGCCAUCGAUACUGCCGCAUGGGACGUCAUGCGGUAUCGUUGGACUAACCAACCAAUGAGCAAAGUCAUUAUAUUCUCAUAGAGGUGAAAAAAUGAAUUUGUUUUCUUCAAAUCCAAUUAAAAAAUUUUUUAAACUUUAUAACUUUCUCAUAUCUGGACAAACAUCAAGUAUAUUGGCUAAAUAAAUUGCUUGAAUCUAUAGAUCAUUAAUUUCUUAUAAUUUUCAUAUAAUUCUCGAGCUGGAAUAACAUGCUACAGUGGUGGCCGAUGGCGACAUGUAGUGGCUCCAAUGGCGGUAACAGCGACUCUUUUUUUUUUUUUGAAGUUUGUCAAACAAAAUUUUUAAAAUUAUAAUAUAUUGGUUAAGAAAUUAUUUGUAUUAUGUCAUAAUUUAUUUAGAAACAAAUUAAAUUAGAUUAAUUAUAGACUAAAAUUAUGUUAAUAAACUUUUUAAAUAGAUAUAAUUACAAAUAUAAUUAUAUUAUUUAAAAUAAUUUUUUAUUAGUUAUUUAUGUAGUAUAUUAAAUAAAUUUAUUGUUUAUUUUUUGAAUUAUAUUUAUGAUAAAUAUUGUAAGUUAAAAACUAAAGUGUAAAAUAGUCCAAAUGAAAAAUAAGGCAUUUCCUUUCUUUGUAUAGUUUUGUAACAAAUCAAACAUUAGAAAAGAGUUUCAAUCUUCCCUCCUUUCUUCCACUUUCUUCUCCUCUCAUUUCCUUCUCUUCUUCAAACCAAACACCACCCAAAAUAAAAAGUUGAAAAAUAAAGGGAGAAAAUUUUACCUCGCGUGACGCUGCAUUUAGUACAAGUAAUUUAACAUACUCGUGUCAAAUCUCAGUAAGUACAAGCAUAAAUGGGUGGGUAAAAAACUCAUAACCCACAAUCCAAAUUAAACCCAAACCAAAUUAGGUAUUUGGGUUAGUUUGGACUGGUUGAAAAUUUAUUUAGUUUGGGUUGGGUUCAAUCCAUUUCAAUUUUUGUAGGAAAGACUGUUAACUGUUAAGUGCCAAAAGUCCCUGUAUAAGCAUUGAAUGUCUUACUGUAACAUAGACCAAAAAAUUCUAUUUAGAUGAUACCAAAUUUGCCUUCAUCAUGGUUCAUUUGCCGCCGACUAGAGCUAGCAAAACGGGUCAUUGGAUCGUGUUCGUGUCAUGUCAAAUUUAGGUCGAUCCAAACCCGACCCAUUUAAUAAUCGUGUCAAAAUAUUGUGACCCAAACCCGACACGAAAAAACAAUCGGGUUACCUAAUAACCCGCUUAAUAUCUAUAUAUUAAACAAAAGUUACAUCAAAUAUUUACACAUUGCCAUACAUACGUAUGUACAUACAUACAUACAUACAUAAUUUAUUGAUAUUAUAAAAUAUACAUAUAUAACAAAAUAUUAUACAUUUACACUAUUGAAGUUUUAAUUAUCUAUAUGUAAAUAAUAUUAUAUAUCAAUAUUAUAAAAUCUAUAUGUCUACUAAUAUUUUACACAUUUAUACUAUUGAAGUUCUACAUGUAUAUAAAAUUUUAUAAAUAAAACACUGUGUUUAUAUUUUUCAUUUCAAAGAAUAAAAAUAAAAGAGAAAAUCAUCCCUAAUAUUUGAGUUUUGACCACAAGAACCUGUAAAUUAUUUCAAAAUAGAAAAUAUAAUCGGGUCAUUGAUCGGGUAAAUGGGUCAAAACUUUUAACCCUAACCUGACACGGAAAAAUUGUGUCGACCCGGAGCUAACCUAUUUAAUAAUCGUGUUAAAUUCGACGAUCCAUACUCAUUUAUUCAUGCCGUGUUUGUGUCGAGUAAUCGGAUCGUGUCAAAUUUUGCUAGCUCUACCGCCGACAUCGACAACGAUGGCACCAGUGAAGCAACAAUCACACCGGUGGCUUAAAUCAAUUUUUUAAAUAAUUAAUCAAGAAAUAGCAUUGAUUGUAAAAUUAAUUAUUAAUUAAUUUUUUUUGUAGGUUAUAAAUAGAAAAUAAAAAUUCAAUAAUUUUUGCAUUAAACAAUUUUAAAAUAACAAUUAAGUUUUACCUCAAAAUUGAAAAAGACAUAAGUAUCCAUUUGGUCAUUUCUACAAACAUAGAUGAGUAAUUUUCAAUCAUAACUUGAAUUUUAUUUGGAAAGAAAUUCUUUAAUAAUUUAAAUUUAUCAAAUGCGCUAUUGAAUUAUUUUUAGACUAUAAUGCAAUCCAAACAUGUCCUAUGUCAGCCCAAACUCAAACCAUAUUAAAAUAAUUUGAUUUGAGUUGGGUUAUAAAGACUUUGGGUUAAAUUCAAAUUUGUUUGGUUUGGUUUAGAUUGAUCUUAAACCCAACUAAAACCAAUCCAAGCCCACCCAUUUUAUUACAUUUAUCAAUUAAAGAGAAAAGGAAAAAAAAAAUCCCAAACGGUAUCUAAUAAUAAGUCUGGUACUUAUUAUUAGAUAAUUGAUGCCGCGAUAAAUGGAAGCAGAAUAUUUCUUCUUGUCGAACUUCAGAGAAUGAAAGCUCGGUAGCACCAACAAAGUGUUGGCUCCAAUGGCAAUGGAGUCCCCUUAAGUGGCUUGACUGGGUUUGCUCCCCAGUUCGAGUCGCAGGGAAGUCGCCUUUGUUGGGAGAACCUGUGCCUACCGGUUCGAGCGGGGACUUCUAGUCUGGGUUGUGGUACGGGCUUAAAGGUGUCUCCCACAGUUGGGGCCCUCCCCAGAAUACCUCGUGGAUAAGACCAAAAAAAAAAAAAAAAGCUCGGUAGCUCUUUAAUGCAAUGAACUUUGGAGAUAUUUCAUGUAAUAAGAUUAAAUCUGCUUUGGAGACGGAAUCAAAGUAACAAGAAGUAGACUUUAAUUAAAAUCACAAAUUGUGUUUUGUCCUAUGUAGUAGAAUUGCAAAUUUACAACUGAGCCCUGCCUUGGUGGGACAAGGAAAUUGACUGUACCUUAAUUUAGUGGAUAAGACGGACAAAGCCCAAAUUCAUUUGAUACUUGUGCAAGUUGCUGCUGACUGUUGGUGUGUAGCGAGCAAUUUGUGCUGUUUUAUUCAAGCACUACCUCUGUCCAGUCUAUUAGUAUCAAUUGUGAUCUGCCAACGUUUUCCAGUAGACUAUGUUGAUGCAAGAUUCUGAUUUUCUGUUCGUCCACGACCAAGAUCUCUCCUCAACUAACUCGUCCACAACCAGGAUCUCUCUUCGUAAGAUUUCCUCUCUGCAAACUUCUGCGUACACAGAGACAGGUCAGAGCACACGGGGUAUUUUCCCAACGUAAACUCUCCGACGCUCAAGUCAGAAACGUAGGCUUUGUCUUUCUGGGAAACAUGGGCACUAAUAUUAUGGCUCUUUUUCUGAUCUCUCAAUAGAAAACUCUUUUCUUAUGUUCUAAUCUCAAAAAGUCUAACUCAUUUACCUUUGUUGGUUACCUUUUUAUAGCCUUCCUUUGAAUUCGGCCCUUCCUGCAAUCCACGUCCAUCACCUCUCUCAACACUCGGAAGUGGGUGGGUCAUUACCAUAGUUGUGGCUGGGUGGACUCCGUGCCUUGAUUCUAGGGCAACAAUGCACGUCUUGCCAACCGUCAUUGACUGGGUUUCUCCUCCCCAACCUUUAGCAGGAAUGGCCUUAUGCUCCUAGCAGGAGGCUAGGUCUCUCCCCCUCAACCUUUAGCAGGAAUGGCCUUAUGCUCCUAGCAGGAGUCCGGGUCCCGCUAUGGCCCCGUGGAGGGUGCAUUUGUGAAUGAGCCGAAUAUUCCUGUUCGUGGUCACUUGCUACCAGACUUCAGCUGAAUAUUCCUGUUCGUAGAAUCCUGCUACCAGACAUCUGCUCAUCAUGGUUGGUCUUGUAGAAGUAUUACCCCCAAACAAACUCCACAACAGUGGGAUAAAAACCGUGUACUGAGUCAUUUUCUGUACAUUAGUAAGCGGGGCCAAUGCACAAUUAAUUAUUAAAUACUGGGCUAGUCGCUAGUCCCCACAUUAGCAAAGAGUGAGCCCCAUGAGCCAUAAAAGCCGUCACCUUGCCUUGUGCCGCUGCUUUAUAAACUCACUCAACACACUCGUUCUCUUCAUUUCAGUUCCAUUCUCAUUCACAUGUCCAACAUGACAACAUUGGAAGAAGAAUCAUCCAUCCUGGAAUUCAUUCGCCAGUUUCUUCUCGGAGACUUUACCUCCUUAGACGACCCAAAUCUCUCUUUUCUCCAGCCUAUCGAGUCAGAAUUCCCUGUGAUCAAAUCCGAACCCGACUCCCCCACCCUCUGUGAAAUAAUAAAACCUGAAACAUUGGACAUAACGUGUUUGGGUUCCAGUAAUUGGACAACAUCACCUCAAAAGUAUGGAGAGAAUAUGGUAGAAGAGCACUGCUCGAGGACGGCGGCGUAGAACCUGAGCCGCCUCCGGGUGGCACAGUAGAUGCUGAACCUCCAGUGGAGGUGGAAGAAGUAGUAGGACUUUGGCCAGGAGCUGCAGAUGGACUAGCGCCGGGGCUUCCAUCGGACUCAACUUCAAUCCUAAGUCUCUGGCCGGCUUGGCAAUGACCUGGUAUUCCGCAAAUGAAGUAAUAGAUACCGGGCGCAUUGAGAGUGAUGGCGUCAGAGCCUGAGAUGUGAUGUUUUAUCGAAGCUUUUGCAUUGCAUGCAACGUAAUCUGCCUCAGUCACUUCAUGCACGUCGUGCAUGGCGUUGUUAUACUUGAAAACUGCAUUAAUUAAGCCAUGCAAUUAGGAGAUACAUAAUUAACCGUGUAGUUGUAUAAUAUUCUCGGUUCUUCACAAUGCAAUAUAUAAGAAAUUGCUCAAACAGUAGAAUUAUAAAUAACAGAUUGUGUACGUAGGUGCGCCUUUAGUACUUAGGGUUUGAGCAUAUAUUACUCUGUCAGUCUAUUUGCAAUAAUUACCCAAAAGAUUCAUGUAGUAUAUCUGUUUCGGUUGAAAUAUGCUCAAUUAUUCUAUAUUUUUCACCUAUUAAGAAGAAGAGAUGCAAGAAUGGGUCAGCAGAUAUGCUAGCUAUCGUAGGUCUUUGCUGUAGAGCCUGUACCCAGUGGAAUUUUCCUCUGUUUGAGAUAAAAUCUCUCCUCUAGAGCGAUGCAAAGGAUUUUCGAAGAUGUGAAUUUUGUUAAUUUGCUUCUUAUGCUUUAGUGCCAUAUAUUUUUUGAAGGUAUGGAUUGUUACGUCCCUGCUAAAUAGUUGCGCUUAGAUUUUUCAUUUUGCAAAUAAAAUUUUCUCGUUCUAUCGAAGUUUAACCCCCCAAAAAAAAAAUAGUGGAACAAAUCACAAACUCACCGAGGGUAUCACCAACUUUGAAUUCUUUUCCAUCUACCCAUGAAUAGUAAUCAACUUUGCCUUGUGUCGUCCAGCCGGUAUUGUCACCAACGGUAUAAGUAGUAGCUGCCACGGAGGCUCCAAGGAGAGCCAUGAUUGUUAAGGAAAUCACAGCACUCUUUGCCAUUGCCAUUAUUACUUUAUUAUACUGUUUUAAAAUUAAUUACCAAAACUUCUAAUAACGAGAGAGUUUAUAUAGGCUUUGGUACUUCUUUGCCACCAAGCAUUGCUGUCUAUAUUUAGCUUGAGACUGGUGUUUUAUCCGAGCGAUGUGCAAGGAAAUGAUCGGAAAACAAAAUAUCUAACUUGGACUAUUUAAAAAUAGGAUACAAGUAAUGAAAUUAAUUACUGGAAUAACAGAAAUAACUGUAAUAAUGGGAAAUAACAGAAAAAAUUAUGGAUGUGUUUGUACAUCCCUUUUGAUUCAUCGACCCAUUUUUUUUAUAAAAAAAAAUCACGAGUUAUAAGUCCAUAAAAAUAUUAGAGAAUCUAAAUGGAUUCUCACCGUUCAUUGCUCUUUUAAAUGUUAAUCUAUUCCACGUUUAUAAGCAUAAUAUCUACGAUUUUUAUCAUAUUUACUGGCAACCAGUGGCGGACCCAGGAAUUUAAGCCAGACGGGGCUUGCUAUAAAUUAUCUUCUCUAAGUAUUCGUUAUUUCACUAGUUUUCAUAACUUAGAAGAAAACAUGGCUGAUAAGAAAAAAAAAAUUACUUAUGAAUAAUCUGCAAAUCUUACUGCAUAACAUUGGGUUUGAUAUAUUUUGAUUAUCCUCAGACUAGUUUAUUAUUUUAUUUGUCAGUACAGCAUAAUCAUCAUUAACAAUUAAAAAAAUGCUGAGUAAAAUUUUUUAUUUUUGUUUAUUUAAAAAAACUUUUUGAUUUAAUUUCAUAAUAUUUUUCCAAAUGAGUUUCUUAAUCAUCUUGAAUGCAGUAGAUCUAAAGAGGAUAUAAGAAAAGAAUUGAGAAAAAGAGCCAUAAGCACUAAAUUUUAAAACCAAGUAUGUUGUUCUAAUAAGUGUUUUAGAAUAAACUGUAAAAAUAUUUUACUAAAGAGUGAGACUACUAGCAGCCCUCCAAAAUCUUUAUAAACCUCUAUUGAGGUACCUAAAGAACACUGCUAACAUGUGUUUACAAUUCUAAAAGUCAGAACACCUUGAUUUAGUACCUUACACAGAUGCCGGAAAUGAGAAUCUUUGUACAAAAUAUUUUCAGAAGUAUUUAUGAAUAAUUAUCAAAUAUUUGAUUAACUACAAAUCUCAAUUUUUAUUUAACUAUAUUUCUUUCUUUUUGUUUUUUACCAGUUUUAAAUUUAAAUAUUUGGGACCGAAAUUUUUCAACAUAUCAAAGCAUUAGGGAAAAAAGCUGUCUUAUUUUAAAUCAAUAAUGGAACUUUACUAAAAAAAUUAAUACCGGCAAUGAUCGAUCAGACAAUCAUACAGGGGUGUAGUUAAAGAUUAAGGCUUAACUUUAAGUUUAUGUGAAAAGAGGCCUCUUGACUAAAGCAUAUUUGAAAUUGGGGGAUGUCGAGGAAUUUUGUUGGAUCUUAACAGUUUCACACUUUGAAAUUUGAAAACACAAAAGGGGCUUACAAUUUUCAUUUAAGGCAAUUUCAAGGCCCUGAGUGGGUCUGCUUGUGCUUGCAAUUAUGUCUGACUCUAAUUAUAUUUGGAGUAAUGCACUAAUUUCAAUGGCUCUAAUAUUUGGGCCCUAACUAGUUUGACAACUUAUUUGUAAUUAGCAUAUCAACUAUAUUAGGAUGUAACAGGUAGUAGCGGUUUUAGCAUUAAACAAAUUAAGCAGCUUUUCAGGCUUCAAUGCUUCAUAUUUAGAUAGUUAUCAAUUUUUAAGUAUCUAUUUGUUAAUUAGUAUAAGUAAUAAUUUUUUUAUGAUACUAAAAUAGUUUAAGUUAUUUAUAUAUUUUAAGAGUCCAGCUAUGUUUGGCACCCUAUUUUUUGCCUUUUUCAAAGGAUAAUUUUUGGAUACCUCCCCUGAGAUUUGCACCUGCUACACUUAGAGAGAAUGCUUGCAUAUAUUGACAUAUAGCACCUUUGAAGGUAUAUAAGUGUUAGAGUGCCGUUUGGUAGUUAAGGGUAAAAAUGUAAUUGCAAUAAUUUAAAUUUUUUAAACUAUAAAGAAUUUAUUGACCGAUUAAACAAGUCACUAUGCACCAGAACGCACAGUGAGUAAAUGAAAAAUCACUAUGCACUUUGAAUACAAAGCAUGGAACCAUGUGAAAACUAAGGGGGGAGCAACCCAUCUCCACUUCUUCUCAUCGACUUCACUUGAAAAUAUAUAAUACCCACUUGAUUCAGCUCAAAUGAACUUGUGAUAUAGUGAGAAAUAACCUCUCUGCGAUUAAGCAUGUUAAGAAGUAAAUUAUGUCGGCGGCCAACGUCUAAGCAGUCAAUCAUUGAAGAGCAUAAGGUGUGUAUUUCCAUUGAAACUUGAAGCUUAAUUUUGGGUUAAUUUUCGUCUUGCAUUUUGUUCAAUAGGAUGCUAGGUUGUGCUUCAAUUAAUUGAGAAGAUUGUAUAGCGUUCUGAAAAUUUGAAAUAGUUAUCGAAAUAAGUUGAAAAUCACUAUAAAAUUUUGGGUAAAAUACAAAAAACAUUUGAUUUUUUAAGAGAUAAGAAAGUGAGGAUCUGAGUGCCUGCUAAAUUUGACUUGCUCUGCUCUUCAUAUUAAAAAAAAAAAAACUUGUUGCUGGAAAUGCAAAGUUGUUACUACCGAGAAUGGUUAGUGAAUUUUUUCUUAUUUUUUGUUUUCGGUAAUAGUUUAUAGGUCAUGCUAAUAAAAUGAUGAUUGGCUACUAUCUUUUGUAAGUUGUACUUAAGAUAUUCGUCAAAAAUUAGUUAUAGAGGUUACAGUAAACUUGUUUCUCAAUAGAUUGAUACUUGGGUACAGGGGGAAGAUAAAGACAUGCAUUGUUUGUUCAUAAAUUUAUCCUUUUAUGAUUCAACCUGUUUUAAAAUAGGGUAUCUAUGUAUUUUAGUCUAUUUCAACAUCCUUGUUCUACUGUCUUUCUUCCACUUUGCAUCUUUUUAUAGUUUUACAUACACAUCGCAUUGUUAUGCACUUUGCCCAUUAAUUUAGGAACUACAUAUAUUGUUAUCAAUCUAGUACUGACAAUGUGUUACUCUUUAUCAACUUGAUCAUUUGAUCCAUAAUGAUUGUUACACCAACACAUACUAUAACAUACAUCUAGUUUUAGGUACAUCUUUUAUAUUUUUUAAUAAUUAUUCACAAAUAAUAAUAAUUCACUCAUCAACUGAAUAAAGUCAUAGCUCAUGCAUUUUCUGAUUUUUUGUGUGAAGUUAUUUUUAAGAUUGUUGAUGAAGUAAAUGGCAUUGAUUAAGGCUAAUUACUUUUGUCAUUGUUUAUGAAGCUUAGUAUACUUUGACAUUGAGGCAAUGAUAGAUGGUGAAGUUUUUGCAAUUGGUCUUGUUAUUCUAGAUCACUAUAGCCUGCAUAAAAUAUAGGUUGAUAGUAGGGAUGUUUGUUGGGGUCACCCUAUUAGGGAUGCGAAUGGGAUAAGGGUUCCAGUGAUGUUUCCAUGGCAGACUGAGCAGCAAACAUUACUAACUAAUAAAGACUUGCUAGGGGCAUUUGAACAACUCAGAGUAAAGGGGUAUAGUUGGGCAAGAUUUAUGGUCACACUUGAUGAAGACUUUUUACCAUCUUUUUCUUCAAUGGUCCAACCAAGUGAAACACAAACAGAGGUAGUCCUAAAUUUGAAUGAAAAUGAAACCUUAGCAGAUAAGUGCACACAACAAUUGAACAAUGAUGUGGAAAUUGGAAACGGAGAGAAGGAAAAUUAUUCUAAGGCAUUUUUAGAUGAAUUUGAAUAUGAUUAUAAUGCUGAUGGCUCUGAUCUAGGUGGUUUUGACCCAGAUGGCUCUGAUCUAGAUGAUGCUUUUAGAGAUUAAGGUAACAACUGUGAUGAUCUUGAAGACUACGAAUCUGGGGAUGAUAGUAGAGAUGAGUUAUAUGAUGAUAUUUUCAAAGAACAAGCUUGUAAUAGAUAUGAAAAGAGUGCUGGUGGUUUUGAGUUUAGUUCUGUUGGCUAUGAGAUAGUAUUGAGAUCAUGACAAUUGUUUGUCAAUGUGUGGGAUUUUAAAAAAGUUUUGAAGGCGUUCGCAAUUAGGAAUGGAUUCAGACUGAAGAGGUUGAAAAUGAGAAGAUAAGAGUAACAUGUGCGUGUGCAGCACCAAAUUACACUUGGAGAAUCCAUGCAAGUCCUAAUUAGAACCGAAGGUCGUUCCAAAUUAAGACUUACUGCCCAUGGCACACCUGUCCUAGAGUUGAUGACAAUUAUGGAGCAACUUUAGAUUGGAUAGUAGCCACAUAUCUGCAUCUAUUCAAAGCGAAUCCUGACUUGAAAAUUUCUGUUAUUGUGGCUGCUUUGAUGCAGAGUUAUAGAAUUGAAUGCAACAAUCAAAUGCUAUAUAAGGCUAAAAGGAAAGCACUUAAGUUACUCGGUGAAGACCACAAGACUAGUUACAGUAAAUUGUUUAGAUAUAUGCAUGCCUUAUUAAAUUUCAAUCCUAAUUCCAUUAUCUCUCUUGGAAGGAUUGGCUUGGUAGUGCUCAAUUUCCCACAUUUAAGAGGUUCUUCUUGUGUAUAUAUAGAUAGUAGUAGAAAAGGGAUUUAAUUAAAAGUGCAUGCCAUUAAUUUGGGGUAACAAUUGUCACUUAAAAGGACUAUACAAAAGUGUACUCCUAACAACUGUGAGCAUUGACGCAAAUAAUGAGAUUUAUCCUUUAGCUAUAUGUGUGGUUGAGUCUAAGAAUAAUGAGUAAUGAUAGUAUUUUAUGGAGAAACUAUAUGAUCAAGUGGGUUGUAAUGGUGGUGAAAGUUUAUAUUUUAUGAGUGAUAGACAAAAGGAUGUCCUCAAUGCCUUGGAUAGAGUGUUCCCUUUAUCAAUAAAGAGAUACUACUAUAGAUACAUUUAUGCAAACUUUAAGAACAAGUUUCCCGACUUGUUACUGAAGAAAGUGUUAUGGAGAGCAUGUAGGAGUUCUAACGCUGCUGACUUUAAUUCCCACAUGGAAGAACUAAAGACUAUAACUCCGGAUGGCUAUGAAUGGUUGAUGAAAAUUCCCAUUGCAUGUUAGGCAAAUCGUUUGUUCCUCCCUCACACCAAAUGCAGCCAUGUUACUAAUAACAUGAUUGAAUCCUUCAACAAUUGGAUCAACAAUUUCAGAGGUUUGCCAAUUGUAAGGAUGUCUGGGGAAAUACAAAGGAAAACCAUGCAGUUGAUUUAUAAAAGGCACGAGGCAGCCCUUGAAUGGAAUUGUGAGCUUUCAUAAGUUGUGAUAAGGAAGAUUAUUGAGAGAAUAGUAGAAGCAAAGUCACUCUCUGUCAUCUUUGGGCAUAAUGAGACAUUCGAGAUACUCGAAGACAUGACAAAAAUCACUGUUUUUGAUCUGUUGAGGAAGAAAUGUGACUAUGGUGAAUGGUGUAUUUCUGGACUUUCUUGCAAACAUGCCCUCUGUUGCAUAUAUACAAAGAGGUAUCAUGUGGAAGACUAUAUACAUCCAUAUCUUAAAAAGGCAGCUUUCAUUGAGACUUACAAACAUCAAUUUAAACCAACUCUUGAUGAGAAAAAGUGCCCACUCAUACUUUAUGACAAUUUGCAGCCACCAACAACUAUAAAGACAAUUGACAGACCUCAAACUAAUAGAAGGAAAGAAAAUGGUGAAUCUUCAACCUUCUAGAGAAGCUUAAAUGUAAGGUGCUUUCACUAUGACUAGUGAGGACAUAAUAAGAGGACCCACCUAAGGACAACUAGUGAUUAUGAGCAAAAAAAAAUUAUGGAAAAGGUAAAACAAUUUAUUAAAAUUAAUCUUAAUUUUAACAUAAAAUUACACCUGAUCACUGAAAUAAUUAAUAAUUUUUAUUUUGUGAGGCACCAAUUGCUCAGACUAGUUCAAAUAUAAGAAAUAUAAUGAGCCAAACACAGUCAUCUGCCCAUGAUAAUGGUAAUAUUAAUGUUGGAAAUAUCUGUAGUGAAUAAACAAUCUUAAUUUUGUAGUUCUAUUGUCAUUAAACUUAAAGCAUCCGGCAAAUUUAAGAACAUAGAGCUAAGAAUAUAUGAGAAGAGAAAGCAUGUUAUCUAACCCCAUAUUCUUUUUUUUUUUUUUUUACAGAGAUCAGAUGAUGCAACACUUUUGCAAUACCCAAGUAUCAAAAGAUGGUGUAUCAUCUCUUGUUCACUUAACAUAUAAGUUUGAGUUCUUUUUAUUGAUAUUUUGUUGAAAUGUAGAAACUUUUAUACUAAUGCCAAAAAAUAGGUCCUAUAUGUCUUUCUUGACUUAAUUACAGCAACCUAUUAUGAUAGAUAGUUGCUUUAUUGCAUAUUUAUAUGGUGUACUUAUGUCAAUUGUAAGGGUUGGGUGUGUUAUUGUCUAAGAAAAUGAAUGUUCAAAGUCAAUUUUUGCUAGAAUGCCAAUUAUAUUAUAGUUUGAUUUAAAUUUAUUGUUGUUGCCUAUUGUUUCUGCUCAUACAUUAAGAAUGGAUUCUAUUGUUAUUUCUUAUUAUUUUAAUAAUCUGCUGAUGUUGAGAUGAAGUUCAAUUGAUUUAUAGAAUAGAGGCUUAGUUUGGACAGUGAGCUAGUGAAAUAAUAGUUUAUUUUGAAGUGUCUUGGUUUGUCAAAUAUGCAAUUGUGCUUUAUAAUUGCUUCUUUGGUUUAAAUAGUUAGAGACUUUUUUUACUGAAAUUGACUACCCAGUAAACAAUUGAUUGGAACUUAUUUUACAUGGAUUUGGUUUCACAAGUCUCUGAUCAUACAUUAGGAAUGGAUUUUGUUAUUGCUUAUUGAUAACUCUAUGAAAUGAGAGUUAUUAUGGCAAUUCUAGGCUUUAAAUCAAGAUCACUUAGAGAGUAAAUUAUGUGUUUCUAUUGCAUUUUUGUUUCAUUUUGCAUAAAUAAUCAUUUUAGUUAGUUAGCACAAGAGGAGAAUUUGCAGAAAUCAAUUAAUCAAUCAUUCUUAUUCUUCUCUUGUUUACUCGUUUUAUAUUUAUUUAUGGGGAUGUGUUUCAUGGCUGAAACUUUGUUCUUUAUUUUUCUUUUGCAAACCAUGAACUAAAUUUAUCUGUGGUUGAGUGAUAAACAAUCUUGAUGGUUUAUUGACUGAAUAUAUGUGUUGCUGCAUGUUUGGUGUAGCAGUUUGUUUUGAUAGUAUUUAUGUUUAUUCAUUAUUUCGAUUGAUCACUCAUUUAAUGAUACAAGUUAGGAGAGAGCUGCAAAAUGACAUAUCUUAGGGGAACAUAUCAGAGUAAUACUUGGUUUUAGAUUGAGUUUUUUGGAUUGAGUUUAACUUAUCCCAAAAGGAUCAUACUUAAUCUAAAAUUAGUGAUGAACUAGACAUAGAGAUUCACCUUGUAGGGUAAAUAGAACUUAAGCGUGUAAUGCUAUAUCUUAUGUUGGCAUAAUAAUUUAUUACUGUUAGAUAGCAUAUAGAUAUAAGAUAUCCAACAUGUGACGGCUAAGGAUGCAUAAGGAUUCUGCCCAGUGCUGUAGUAGAUACUGCAGCAACCGAGCCAGCCAUUAAAAAAUAGUCAAGACCAUUAGGAGAGUUUAUUCACUCAACUACUCUAUAUUCCCAUUGGUUUUAUCCUUAAGCUUGACGUGAUAAUUUACUUUGUUGCAUUUUAAUUAUUGCGUUUUAUUUUAAUUAGUAUAUUAAUUUCAUUAAUUGUUUUAUCUUAAUUUACAACAAAAUCUGCACUGUUAAUAUUGUUGUAACAAAUCUGAUAACAUCAAUCCCUGUGGAGACUAUCUUGAAUACUCAUCACUUUAUUACUUGUUGUGUACACUUGCACAUUGACACCAAUAGCAUUAGUAUUUAUACCCAAUACUUAUUAUUUCAAUAAUCUAUUGAUGUUGAGAUGAAAUUCAAGUGAUUCACAUAAUGGAGGCUUAGUCUGGACAAUGAGCUAAUAAAACACAAUUUGUAAUUGAUUUUUUUCCUUUAAACAGUCAUACACACAAGUCAUAAUAAGCUGAAAUUCUUUGCAUUCAUACACAACAAGUUACAAAAAGAUCAAUUGAUUCAUCUUCAUGGCAGUACUUGUUCAUUAGGUACUUUAGGUACAAGUACAUGCAUUGGUUGCAUAAUGCUUAUGUUGCAACUAUAACUACACCCAUUAUUAAAAGUACAACAAUAAAAAUGAAAAAAAAAGAAGUUCAAGAACAAAAUUAUCUUAAUACCACUGCCUUUGCCCUCAUUGUUACGUGUAUCUUGCAUGUGUGAUUUCGAUUCCUUCAAAUUUUUUACAUAAUCAGUAGCAACUCAUAAUUUGCAUGACAUGUUCCUACACCUUUAAAUAUUUCACCUCGAUUGAAGUCAUUUAAGGAUGGCAUCUAGAACUUGAAAUAACCACAACCAUGUUUACUGCCCGUACAACAAUAGUAUAGCUUAUUUGGGUUGUCAUUUGAUUCCAAAAUCUUCAAACUAGCUCUUUUGUUGAACCUGCAUAUCUUAUUUGCAAAUCGAAUGAGGUUUCCAUUAAUCUCAUCCCUCCAUCCUCUGCAUCAUUGGUUGCUUGAUCCUAUGGUUUAAAUUUUGACAUAUAAAUCGAUAAUAUUUUAAAUUUUUUACACUAUUAAAAUAGAUUUCGAGUUAAAUGAUUUAUUUUUACAUUUAUAAAAUAUAUGUAUUUAAAUUAAUUAAUUUUCUUAGUAAUUAAUGAAUUAAUUAAUUUAAUAUAUAGUUAAACUAUAUUUAUUAUUUAAUAACUGUAAUUGACGAUAAAUAUAAAUACAAUUUUUUUUAAUUUAUCAUAACUGUAAUCAAUUUUCUCUCACCCAUUUAAGCAGGGUUCAAACUCCGUAUCCUUUUUUUUUUAAGAACAAGAGGUUUUACUAUCUCAAGUAGAUGAAAUGUACAAAAUAUGAAAAUGAAUUUAAUUUCAUAUUCUAUGUAGUUAAUGUUUUAUUAUUUUUUUGAAAUAUAACAUUUAUUUAACAUAGUAUCAAUUAUUUGAAUAUAUGAUGAAAAUAUAUUAGUUUACUAAUAAUAACAAAGUGUUAGUUUAAAAAUCUGCAAAAUCAUUUUUGUUUGCUUGAACAAGGACUUUUGUAUUGUCCAAAUUUGACAAUUUUGUGAUGUUGGAGUAUUGUGUUCAUGCUGAUAUAUUCAAAAGGUGCUUGUGACAUAGGUCUUGACUUCUAGAGGUCUUGGCUUCUAGAGACAUCACUGUAAUUGAAAAUUUGUAGGUAAAAGAGAAAUGUGUCAAAAUUUAAAAGUCCUUGGCUUUUUUGUUUUUAUAACAAAUAUCAAGACUCCAUUAUAGUUGACUUAGAAAAAGACAAAAAAGGGGUAACACACCUAUGUGCCAACAUAGUUUUGCCCUAUAUUAUGGGAAAACUAAUAUUUAGGCUUUACCUUAUUAUUACUCCUAUUCAUAAUUAUCUAUCUUAUUUGAUAAUCUUAUUCUUAAAAAUAAGAUAUAUUUUUAUGGUAUAUGUUGGUGUAUAAAUACUAAUGCUAUUGGUGUCAAUGUGCAAGUAUACACAACAAGUAAUAAAGUGAUGAAUAUUCAAGAUCGUCUCCACAGGGAUUGAUGUUAUUAGACUUGCUACAGCAAUCUUAACAGUGCAGAUUUUGUGUCUAAAUUAAGAUAAACAAUUGAUGAACUUAAUUUACUAAUUAAAAUAAAAACACAAUAAAUAAAAUGCAACAAAGUAAAUAUCACGUCAAUCUCAAGGAUAAAAUCAAUGGGAAUAUAAAGUAGUUUAGUGAAUAAACUCUUUUAAUGGUCUUGACUAUUUUUUAAAUGUUUGGUUCGAUUGCUACAACAUUUUCUACAGCACUAGGCAGAAUCCUUAUGUAUCCUCAGCCGUCGCAUGUUGGAUAUCUUAUAUCUAUAUGCAACCUAACAGUGAUCAGUUGCUAUUUACCCUACAAGGUGAAUCUUUAUGUUUAGUUCAUCACUAAUCUUAAAUCAAGCAUGUCCCUUUUGGGACUCAAGUAAAACUCAAUUCGGGAAACUUAAUUUAAGAUCAAGUAUUGUUCUUAUAUGUUCCACUAAGAUAGGCCCUUUUGCGGUUCUCUCCUAACUUGUAUCAUUAAAUAGGUGAUCAACCGAAAUAAUGAAUAAAAAUAAAUACUAUCAAAACAAACUGCUACAGCAAACAUGCAGCAACACAUAUAUUCAGUCAAUAAACCAUCAAGAUUGUUUAUCACUCAACCACAAAUAAAUUUAGUUCAUGAUUUGCAAAAGAAAAAUAAAAAACAAAGUUUCAGCCAUGAAACACAUCCCCAUAAAUAAAUAGAAAACGAGAAAACAAGAGAAGAAUAAGAAUGAUUGAUCAAUUGAUUUCUGCAAAUUCUCCUCUUGUGCAGCCCUUAAUCUCUCUCUUGAAUCUUGUUUUUCUUUUGUUUCUUUGUGUUUUUCUCCUUGGGUGACGGCUUUCCUAUUCCUUAUGAUGUGUACUUCUUUUAUAAUUGAAAAUUAGGGUAAACGGAAUCCUAGGGCACGCAUUAGUCAGAUUAGGAAACUGUAGAUCGCAAUUCCUUAUGAUGUGUACUUGUUUCAAUUCUUUUGCAGCUAAGUUUUUCCUCAUUUUUACAAGCCUAUUGUAUCAACAUUCAUUCUAUGAAUUAUAAGCUUCUGGAAACCUACAAUUAUGUACACAAUUUAAGCACGAAUUACUUUAAAUUAAGCAAAACUCAUUAAGACUAAACUAAAAUGAAUAUUUAUGCAAAAUGUAACAAAAAUACAAUAGAAACACAUCAUUUACUCUCUAAGUAAUAUUAAUUUAAGUCUAAAAGUGCUAUGAUAACUCUCAUUUCAUAGAGUUAUCACACCCCCAAACUUAAACCAUUACUUGUCCUCAAGUAAUGACAACAACGCUAACACUUCAAUCACACAGUCAUGCAACAAAUAACUUAGCUCUAUCAUCAAAUUUGCAAGAAUUUUUCCACCCUCAGAUCACAUUCUUAAUCACGCAAAAUAGAUCAAAUUCCAGAGGUGCUACAACAUUACAGAAACAUUGCAUAUAAUUCAAAGGUAGAACACAAAUAUAUUCACAUUUGGGGGAGCAGAAAUCAAAAAUAUACUCAAACUGUGCUACAACAGUAAUAAAAAAAAUUUUUUUCAGUUAAACCCUUCAAUGCAACAUUGAGCUUUCAUGUGAAUGUCUAUCACUUGCAAUGACGACACCCAAUUACUCAUUCAAAUUACAUGUCAGAGUUGCUACAGCAACGCAUUUAGGAUGUUAUAUCUAGGUCUUACCUUUGGACGCCUUUGACUCAAGGCUGAACAUGAGGCUCAUGAACAGAUCAUGUUACUCAGUAUCUUAGGUAGCGGACCUCUUUAUUUUUUAUUCCUUCAUCACAAUUUUUUUUUUUUUGCUUUGCUUUUUGCUUUUUUUAUAUAUAUAUAAUUGCUGCAGCACAGCUCAUAACUCUUGUUGCCUUUGGACUCAAGUUUGCAUAUGGGGUGUAAACUCAACCUUGGUUACUCAACAACUUAAACUAUUGGAGCAGAAUUUAUUUCAUAACAGGCACAAUCCAACAAAAAUUUUCCCCUAAACUUGAGAUAUUUUCUACUCUUUUUUUGGUUUUCCUCGCUCUCUAUAGCAUUCUCAUAAAACUGAACCAAAGUCUAAGUGUCGGGACAGAAAUUCAACCUCUAUCUAUAACUAUCUCUACUUGGCAUUCUCAUAAAUACUGAAUAACACUCAAUUUAUCUUCAUUAGGUUUUCAAAUCCAUACAAAAAUAUUAGAUAACAGAGCUUCACACAACACACAACACAAACAUAAACACAUGCACUCAGAAACACAACCCCCCCAAACUUGAGUGGUGUUGUGUCCUCACAAGCACACAAAACAAAACCACAUAAAUCAGACAUGCAUACACUAAAUAAAAGAACAUGUAGAAUGAAUUAGAAAAUUAAAACUAAAUGAAAGAAAAGUUUUAUAGAAAGAAGUAAAAUAAACUAGCAGGUAGGGAGGUACUCCCCUGUUGCUGGAAGCACUGCUGCAUCAUAGGUUGUAAAGGGUCACUUCUUCUUUGAUCCACUUCUUAAACGCUCCUUAUCAUAAAAUCUGAUCAAUUCAUUUGCUGCUGUAAAAGCAAGAAUGCCUCUGUUGUUUGAGAAUCUUCUGUUAUGUCAUACUGUAAGUGAUGCUGCAACAAUUCCCUCCUGCUCUUUUUGCCCACACAUUGUUUUUUUACUUGCUGCAAUGUAACAUAAAGACAUAAAAAAUUAGAUGCACACUUAAAAUAAUAAAAAGACAAAUUAAAUAAUUUAAAAGCUAAAUUCAAUGCCAUAAAAACUUGAAACAACUUCCCUUAUUGGGUUGUCUCCCAAUUAACGCUUGAUUUUAGGUAUUUCAGCCUGACCUUUCUUGUUUCCUCAACCUGGAUCCUUCAAGAACCGAUCAUUCUUUAGGUUGUUCAUAUCAUCUCUCAUAUAGUACUUCACUCUCGGCCCAUUAACCUUGAAUUCUUGUUGGUCUGGAGUGAGUCCCCUUUGCUGGAUUUGCUUGUCAAUUCUGAAAGGUUGUUUCUCCCACGACCAUGAUAUGUUAGCUGCUUCAUGAUUUUCAUCAUCAAGUUCUUCAAAUGUUACAACAUUAAUUUCUUCCUUACUACAACAACUGUAUAAUCUCUCUGCUACAAUAAAGUCCACAACACUAAUAAAAUUACAAUCUUCAAUCUCAUCAAGACUCUUCAUGGCAUCCAGCACAUUGAAUGUAACUUGCUGGUCAUUUACCCUCAUGGUUAAUUCUCCUUUUUGAACAUUAAUUAAAGUCUUUCCCGUGGCUAAGAAAUGUCUCCCUAAAAUGAUUGGCACUUCUUUGUCUGCCUCAAAGUCUAGCACAAUGAAAUCCACCAGAAAAAUAAAUUUAUCUACAUUCACCAACACAUCUUCAAUCUUCCCUUCUGGAUAGACAUGAGAUCAGUCAGCAAGUUGUAAAGUCACUGUUGUUGGUCUACAUUCACCAACUCCCAAUUACUUAAACACUGAUAAAGGCAUGAGAUUGAUGCUAGCCCCCAGAUCACAAAGUGUUUUGCCACUGUAUUCAGUGCCUAUGGAUCAUGGAAUUGUGAAGCUUCCUAGAUUCUUCAUCUUCUGUGGUAUCUUACUCUGAAGCAUUCGGUUGCACUCUUGUGUUAGAGCAACUAUCUCAAAUUCUCCAAGUCUUCUUUUCUUUGUCAAGAUAUCCUUAAAAAAUUUUGUAUAAUUUGGCAUUUGCUCUAGAGCUUCCACAAAAGGGAUAUUGAUAUGUAGUUGUUUCAGCACUCCCAAGAUUUUGCUGAACUGCUUGUCUUGUUUUUGCUUCUGAAACCUUUGAGGAAAUAGUGGUGGAUGUCUAAACUGUUGUGCUGCAGCAUGUUGUGCAGAUUGCUUCUCUUUUGCUCUACUCGGCUCUGUUGUUGUUGGUGUUGUAGCUUCCUCACCACCAGGUGCUAGAUCAUAACUUUCUGCAGAUGUUGUAGCAGAAUUAUGUUUAUUUGCAUUCUGAAAAGUGGAAGACUGUGACUUCUUCUCUACUUGAGUGUCUUCUUGGCCUUGGUUGGACUCAAUUCUUCUAUUUGGUAUACCAACUGAACUAUCAGCCUCCUUUCCAGAUCACAAGUUUAUCACUUUGCAGUGCUCUUUCCCUUCUCUUCUUGGGUUCUCUGUGUUACUGCGUAAACUGUCCUGAGGUCUAUUGCUUACUGCUGUAGCAAGCUGUCCAAUUUGAUUUUCUAAGUUUCUCAAAUAUGCAGCAUGACUUUGGACCACCGUUUCAUUAUUCACAAUAUAAUCCUUAAUUAAACCUUCAAGAGAGCUGAGUUGAUCAUUGUUGAUGCUUAUUUUCUCUUGAUUUUGCUGAUAAAAUCCAGCUGGUUGAGCAAGUUUGUUCUGUCCACUGGAUGCUGCAGCAGUCUGGUUCUGAUAACUCCUUGAAAAGUUCGGGUGCUGUCUCCAUUCAGGGUUGUAAGUGUUUGAAUAUGGAUUGUCCUGGUUUUAUCUAUUGAAGCUCCCCACAUAAUUGACUGAAGUUGGAUUCCUAGGACAAUUGUCAAAUAAAUGCCCUUUUCCACAAUAAACGCAUGACACAUCAGAAAUUUGGUUAACAGUUGUUGAAGCAGUGGUCAUAGCCUUUAUCAUCUUUGUUAAUGAAGUUACUUGGGCUGGCAAUGAUGUCAAGGCAUCUACGUUAUGGACUCAUGCUGUUCCUCUCACUGCAGCUUGUCUGGUUAAUGGCCACUGAUAGUUAUUGUUGGCUAUCCUCUCCAAAAUUUCAUAAGCCUCAUUGUAAGACUUAGAUAACAAGGCUCCAUUUACUGAAGCGUCCACCAUCAAUCUAGUGCUUGGCUUGAGACCAUUAUAGAAAGUUUCCAACUGUAUGCAGUAAGGAAUACCAUGAUGAGGACAUCUUCUGAGUAACUCCUUAAAUCUUUCACAUGUAUCAUACAAGCUCUCAUCUUUAAGUUGAUGGAAAGAUGUAAUCUCAUUCCUCAGUUUUGCAUUCUUGGUUGGUGGGAAGUAUUUCAUCAAAAAUUUAUCAGCCAAGUCAUUCCAUGUAGUGAUAGAAUCUGGUGGUAGAGAAUUCAACCAUGCUCUUGCUUGAUCUCUCAAAGAAAACGGGAAAAGUCUGAGUCUCAACGCUUGUUGCGAUGCUCCAGCAAUCUUGAAAGCAUCACUUACUUCCAAAAAUAACUUAAGGUGUAAAUGAGGAUCUUCGGAUGGCAAACCAUUAAAUUGCCCCACUGUUUGAAGCAUCUGAAACAUCACGGGUUUGAGUUCAAAAUUUUCAGCUUGAACAUCGGGUUUAACUAUUCCUGGACGUAUGGCUUGAGGAGUCAACACUGUGUAGUCUUGAAUGGUUCUAUCUCUAUCAUUCGCCAUGUGAAUAAUGUUGUUGUUCCCUGGUUGCUUUUGAACACAAUGUCCAUUCAAACCUUCAUGUACAUCGACUGGUUGUAUCUCCUCUAUACGGUUCAAGUUUCUCAAAUCUUACAAAUCAUCCAUUGCUACAGCAGCUUGUAAUUCCCAACGCUCUCUUCUUAAUCUCCUUGCAAUUCUUUCAAUUUCUGAAUCAAACUGGAAUUCAACAGAUUUAUAUUUGCGCAUGCAAGGGUUGCUAGAUCACCUAUGUCAACAAAAUAAACAAACUAAAAUAAAAUAAAAAAUUAGCACCGUUAAAACUAAUUUCACAAAUCACAAUGAACAAUCAAUCCCCGGCAACGACGCCAAAAACUUGUUGGUGUAUAAAUACUAAUGCUAUUGGUGUCAAUGUGCAAGUGUACACAACAAGUAAUAAAGUGAUGAGUAUUCAAGAUCGUCUCCACAUGGAUUGAUGUUAUUAGACUUGCUACAGCAAUCUUAACAGUGCAGAUUUUGUGUCUAAAGUAAGAUAAACAAUUGAUGAAACUAAUUUACUAAUUAAAAUAAAAACACAAUAAAUAAAAUGCAAUAAAGUAAAUUAUCACGUCAAUCUCAAGGAUAAAAUCAAUGGGAAUAUAAAGCAGUUGAGUGAAUAAACUCUCUUAAUGGUCUUGACUAUUUUUUUAAUGUUUGGUUCGGUUGCUACAACAUUUUCUACAGCACUAGGCCGAAUCCUUAUAUAUCCACAGCCGUCGCAUGUUGGAUAUCUUAUAUCUAUAUGCAACCUAACAAUGAUCAGUUGCUAUGCCAACAUAAGAUAUAACAUUACACGCUUAGGUUCUAUUUACCCUACAAGGUGAAUCCUUAUGUCUAGUUCAUCACUAAUCUUAAAUCAAGCAUGGCCCUUUUGGAACUCAAGUAAAACUCAAUCCGAGAAACUCAAUUUAAGAUCAAGUAUUGUUCUGAUAUGUUUCAUUAAGAUAGGCCCUUUUGCGGCUCUCUCCUAACUUGUAUCAGUAAAUGGGUGAUCAACCGAAAUAAUGAAUAAAAAUAAAUACUAUCAAAACAAACUACUACAGCAAACAUGCAGCAACACAUAUAUUCAGUCAAUAAACCAUCAAGAUUGUUUAUCACUCAACCACAGAUAAAUUUAGUUCAUGGUUUGCAAAAGAAAAAUAAAGAACAAAGUUUCAGCCAUGAAACACAUCCCCAUAAAUAAAUAGAAAACGAAAAAACAAGAGAAGAAUAAGAAUGAUUGAGCUCCCAGUUGAUUCACUAUAAGAAAUCUGACUUUCUAAGACAAAUGUUUUUAUGACAUUUGUAGAUUUUGUCAUAAAAUAAUACUUGGUGUGAUGAUCUUUUAAAGUCGUAGCAAAUAAUCUCGUCCUGGCUCAUGUUAUAUUUUGUAAUGAAUAAUAUUCAUUUUAUGACCCAAUAAUUGGUCACUUAAUCAAAUGUUUUGCGACAAAUAUAAAAUUAGCCACAAAAAGACAUACUUUAAAUUCCCUCCAAAAUUGAUCAGUUUUUGACAAAAUAUCAUCUUUUAUGACAAAAAAUAUGGUAGCGAAAUGUAAUUAUAAGUGACAUAAUUAUUUCGUAACUAAAAGAGGGAUGUAAAAUUGAUCAAACCAUUUGUGACAAAAAAUAUUAGUCUCCAAACCUAAUAUGGUUUUGAUUAAUUUUUAAGACCCUAUUUAUUUUUAUCACAAAUAAUUACCUAUUGUGACAAAACUAAAAAAUAAUAGUUUAAAAUUUUUUCUUGAGUAAUUUUGUAUUUCAUGACUUUUUUUUUCAUAGACACUUUAUUUAGUAUUUGUUUCAUAUUUUUUUGGCAAACUUUACAACAUUGACAAAAAACAGAGAAUAAUAAUCAAUAUUUUUAAAUUAUAUUAUAUUUUGUGACCAACAAAUUUUUUAUAUGUAUUUUAUUAAAUAAUUGAUAAGAUAAGAUAAAAUGUCAAUAUUAAAUAUCAAGAAAAAAGGUAUUUAACUGAUAGGUAUUUUAUUAAAUAAUACAUUUUUCUUGAAAUUUAAUUACGCACAUUAUUUUUUAUUAUUUAGCUUCAUACAAAUUUGUUUAACUAUGUUAGAUUAAUAAAAAUUAAAAUAAUAGCCUUAAAAUAAUUAACUUAGAUUAUUAAAAAAUGAUAAUAGACUUUUUUUAAACCAAUAAUAACAAACUUAUUAUAGCUUCUUUUUUAUUUUUUUAAAAGAAUCCUAUAAUAAUUAAUUAUGUUGGAGUUACAGAAAGAAUACAUAUUAUAUUGGAUAAAAAUUAAAAUAAAAGAAUAACUAAACUUAAAUAGAAUAUAAGUUUCUCUAAUGAAAUCGUGAAAUACAAAUAAAUCCCCUCCCACUGAUUCCCUGGCCAAUUUUGUUGUUAUCCAAACAAAACCAUUUAAUUUCCUCCCACUCUCUCCCAGGCCACUUCACUUUAAUUGGUUUUGUAUUAAAAAACUACCCUAUCUUUAUCUUUUGUAAUCCUUUCCAAUUUAUGCGUGAGUGUGUGUGAAUGAUGAUAACAGAACAAAAACGCAUGACUAUGGAGGCCACCUCACUUUGCCGCCGCCCAAAAGCACGCCACCCUCACCAGUCCACUCAUGCAUGCCAAAAUCAGCCACUCAACAAAAUUCACUCUCAUCUCUCGUUCUACUUCGAAAUUGUGAGUAUAUAUAAACUCAGCCAAUUUAAUUUUGAUUAGUUUAAUUGUGAUUGGAUUAUGUGAAAUUCAUAUUUUUGUGUUUGGUAAAAUUAGGGAUUGAAAUUCUUAGAUCUAUUAUUUGAAUAUUUUUAUGCUUAUCAGGUGCUUGAUAAAAUUCCUAAGAGAAUCUAGUAAAAGAAAAACAUAAAAUAUAUGCAAAUAAAUGAAGGAAUUUGAAGCAAAGUUUAGUAGGUUUUGAGAAACUUUUGCAAAAUUAGGAUAUUAAGAUGAAUUUGUUUUUCAAUUUGAGCAGUGGGUUUAGGUGUGCUGAUAUCAGAUUUUUUUUUCCUAAUAUUCUUUCAUAAGAACUUUCGAAAAUGGGAUCUUUCUAAUUUUUGUUCACUUCAACUUGGUAUGUAAUUAAUCAUCUUUCGUUAUUUUUUUUAAGAUAAUUAUAGCUAGUAUUCAUAUAGUAAAAAGAGUUAAUAAGUUAUUCGAGUCCAGCCGAUAUAAUAAUAAGUUAAGCUACAAACUUUUAAUUAUAAAACACAUGUGUUGGUUGGAAGGACGAUUUUGAAGCUUGGGUUGCUAAAGUUUGCUGAAAAUAUUGUUGGCUUUGCUGGAUUUGCUAGGAAGUGUAGAUGAAGUGACUAAAUAAAGGUCAAAAAGCCUUUUUUUCCCCAAGUGGUCGUUGUAUGUUUAGUCAAAAUUAAUAUGCUUAUCUUCUUUUGUACUGGGAUAACAAAAAAGUAUGGAGAGAGUUUCCUCGAUUACUUUGUUUAAGAAAAUGUAUUAGAGUGAGCGAAAAAGGUUCAAGUAGUCUCCAUACAAAAUUUAAAUGUGUAAGUUAUCUUAUUUUUAUUUUUUGACUUAAUCUUUUAUUUCUUUCAACUUUAUAUUUAUUGUACUGUAAAUGUUGAUUUAUUGACUGCUUAAUAAUUUAAUUUAGUUCAAGUUUGACACCAACUGUUUAAUCGAUUAAGUUCAGAGCUUUGGAUGUAAAAUUUGUGCAAGUGAAUCGAGGUUGAUUAUGUGCUUGUAAUCUUGUGAUUAUAUUGUUAAUUUGAAGUCAUAAUGAAAGCAAGUAUGUGCUUGUAAUCUCCUGUCUUUCAUUUAGAAUUUUUUCCAUUUUUUUAUUGGAUGAAAGAAUUGAUUGCGGAUAUGUUUCAUUGAGAAUUUAAUUAUUUUUGCAUUCUUACCUAAAUAUUUUUAUAUAUAGCUAUUGCCUUGCUAUUUACUAUUCUUUCAUUUUGGCAAUAAGAUUUUCUUUCAUAAGAUUAUUCUCCUAUACCAAUUAAGUGUUUUCUCAAGUUUUUUAUUAUUAAUAUUAUUUUUUAAUCAUGUAAAGACAAAUGAUAGAUAGAGAAAAAUGAUGUACCAAUAAUAGAUGAUCAAAUUGUGAAAUACUUUUGGAAAAAUCUUUAAUUUUAUAAAGAUAAAAAAAUGACAGGUACCUUCAAAGUCAUCUUCUACUACAACAUUGUCUUAGCACAACAAGGAUAAAAAGUUAAAAUCAAGGAAGAAGAUAGCAAAUUUAAGGAAGUUGAAGCAUUCAUGAAACAACAACCUGUUGUUUACUUAAUUAUGCUUUUGUGUAAUGUUUCUUUUAUUUUUCUUCUAUGAUGUAAUCUUAUUUUUAGACUAUUGAUUUUUUACCUUUUUGAUUUUAGAUUUCUUUGUAAUGAAUUAUAUUUAUGUUAAUAAUAUUUUUCACUUCAAAGUUCUUUUGUCAUUAAAUUUUGAAUUCUAUGACUACAUAUUGUUAUUAAAUUUAUGUGAGACUAUAAAAAUUGUCCUUAAAAUAAAUUUGAGACUAAAUUAAUUACCAAUUGUAUUUGUAAAAAUUGUCACAAAUGAUAACUACUUGAGACGAUUGUGUAAUGUCGCGAUAUGUAAAUUGUCAACGAUUGGUAAUUGUAUCAUUGAACCUCUAAAAUAACGAUUUUUAGUAAUUAUCGAGACUAUAUUUACAUACUCUUGAGACAAAUAUUAUAGUCAUUCUAAAUCACCUAUUGAGACCAAUGUUUUAGUCACUAUAAAUCACCUAUUGAGACAAAUAUUAUAGUCACUGUAAAUCACAUAUUGUGACAAAUAUGAAGUGUCAUUGAUUGCAUUUUUGAAUCUCUAAUUUGACCAUUUUGAACACUAUUUGUGACAAUUUUAACUUAAUUUUAAGACAAUGGUCUUUGUCACAAAACAUAUUUUUAACAUGACGAAAGUAAUUAUGGUCGCUAAAACCUUUUAAGACGGUCUUUCCGUGACUAGCGUGUGACAAUUUAUUUAUCAUCAUAGAAAAUAUAAGGUGACUAAUAUGUUAUCUUGAGUGACUAAAUUUUUUGCAAUAAAAUAUCAUUUUUCUUGUAGUGAUUUUGUAAAUUCUCCUCUUGUGCAGCCUUUAAUCUCUCUCUUGAAUCUUGUUUUUCUUUUGUUUCUUUGUGUUUUUCUCCUUGGGUGAUGGCUCUCUUAUUCCUUAUGAUGUGUGCUUCUUUUAUAGUUGAAAAUUAGGGUAAACGGAAGCCUAGGGCAAGCAUUAGUCAGAUUAGGAAACUGUAGAUCGCAAUUCUGCAAGUAUCCCGCACAUAAUUUUCUAUGUCGUUGUUUUAGGAUUGCUACAGCAACGGCUACAACAACUGCACUGUUCCAGAUAGCUAAGUUCUUCCUCAUUUUUGCAAGCCUAUUGCAUGAACAUUCCUUCCAUGAAUUAUAAGCUUCUGGAAACCUACAAUUAUGCACACAAUUUAAGCACGAAUUACUUUAAAUUAAGCAAAACUCAUUAAGACUAAACUAAAAUGAAUAUUUAUGCAAAAUAUAACAAAAAUGCAAUAGAAACACAUCAUUUACUCUCUAAGUAAUAUUAAUUUAAGUCUAAAAGUGCUAUGAUAACUCUCAUUUCAUAGAGUUAUCAGUAUAAUUAUUAUUUUAAAUUUUUACUUCUUUAUUUUUCUACUACUCACUAUAAGAAAAAAGAGAAUUAUUGAUAUUUAAAAACUGUCAAAUAAAUGAAUAUUUGACCAUUAAAAAGUGCCAAAUAUUCCUGUGUCAAAUAUGCUUAUUUGACAUUUAGUAAAAUUGUCAUUUAUUUUUGUCAAUUAAUAAUAAUCAAAUAUUUUUCACAAUAUAAGAUUGUCAAAUGUGUAUGACACUUAAUAAUAGUCAUAUACAUGUGACAUUAUUCAAAAUGGUCAAAUGCAAAUGACUUGAUAAAAAUAUCAAAUAUUAUAAUUCCUUGUCUUGGGUUGCACAUAAUAUAUAUUAUAACAUUGAAACUUGAUAAAAUUCAAAAAAUUUCAACUAACUUCAAACACCAUAAUAAAGCAUAGGAAACCUGAAUUCAUAUUAAAAUGAACUUGCAUUGUAUGUAUAAAUGUAUCAAAUGUCUUAAGUAUAAUUCUAAAAUAAGAUUGUUUCUAAAACUAUACAUUGAGCCUAUAGUUAGCAUUCCACCAUCGGUCCAAAAGUUUUUCAUAGCAGCAUUGUACAUACAAAAGGAAAAUGUGUUCCUGUGCUUAAAAUCACAUUAAAAGCAACUCCAAUACUGAUCCCCAGAACCAACAUGGGUUGAAACAAAAGUGCAAUGUCAUAGUCGAUAACGGGCAUAUCCAGUGUGGGAUGCCUUUGCCUUAGAUUGUAGACAACAGUAGCAACCGCAGUACCACUGAUCAUACCUACUCAGUCAUGAGGGUUAAAACGACUAUGAGAGUAAGCAUAUGAUUGUCUUGAACAACUAAGAUUGUAUCUGUAAAAGAGGGGUUUGUUUCACUUACAUUUUGAUAGUGCUACAGAUGAUUUUGGAUCAAAUCCAAUAAUCAGAUUAAGUACAGGAACAAAUAUGCCACCCCCACCAACACCACCUACACUCCCACAUAGCCCUACACAUCAAGAAACCAAAAUUACUGCCAUAUACUACUAUUAUUGUUUAAGGAAGAGGCUAAAAAAGUAAGUCAUGGUUACCAGUAAGGCAUUGACAAAUUUUGAUUGAAUUAACUGAGAGCUUUUAUUAUGAAUCCAACUAGAUGAUAUAGUUGCCUUAUGCAAUGAAAGCAUAAGAUAUCUAUGCACAAAGAGAAGGAAAAAUCUAUGCAUGAAAAAUAUUAACAAUAAACUAAUGUACUUCAAUUGAAUCAUAUGCUAUUUACCUGCAUUACUUGUCUCUUUUGCAUUUUUUUUCAAAUCAAGUCACUAACAUAAGUGGUCCAAUCAGAGCGAAUUUCGUUGAUCUCAUCUUCAUUAUAAGUAUCUUUUUCAUUAAACUGACAUCAAAAGACAGAAAACUAUAUUUAUUUGUCACUCCUUCAAUUCAUAGACUUCAUUUUAACCACAUUUCUCUGUAAAAUCUACAAUAAGUUUAAGCUAUGUUAAUGAUCUAACCUUUGCACAAAGUAUACUUUGAUCUGCAAUAAUCUCCUUCAUGAAUCGCAUGACAUAGUAGCCACAUUCAACAUUACCAAUUUGCGUAGGCACAUUAACAUCAUUCCAUUUCAAAUUAAUCUUUUUCAUUUGCUGUCCUUUUUUGACAAGAAACAUUCAAAUCCCACUACAAAAAAUACAAAUUAAAUAUGAAAUAUUAAACUCAAUAAUUAUAUAUAUAGCAAAAACCACUAGUACACUUAUAGCUAAAUAUCUUUAAUAUACUUACACUGUUACAAUUUUUUUUAUAUCAACACUGAUUUCAUUUCUCACUGAAUUCAAAUAAUGAACAACCAUUGAGGGCAAGUCGAUCACAAGCAAGAUCCAAUGACAACUAUUAACAAAUGAAUAAAGAGUUAGAAAAAAUUACUAAUUAAAAAGUAAAAACUAAGUAGAUAAACAAAGAUAUUUAAAGCAACAAAAUAACUAACCUAGGAUUAUAUGGUAAGAAGAUAAAUUAUUUUGCACUCAAUUCUUGGAAGCGAUCAGCAAGAGUUUUUGCUUUCUGUUUGAAAGUACUCUCAUCCAAAAAAGAAAGAGUGGUAGGAUGAAUGAACCCAAACUUUUCAUUAAUUAGCCUGGCCUUCGUUUCAGCACAAAGAUAUCUAGUAUAUAAGAAAAAGCGCUAGGUCAAUUAAAGUGAAACAAAAAUAUUCGACAAAAUAUAAAGCAUUAUUGAAGUAUCAUACCUCAUGUAUACAGCAAUGCAGUUUUGUGAAAGCUCUUGCAUAUCAAUAAGAUCUUGAAUUUCCUCCAAAGUGAGAUAUGUAUGCAAUUUGUAACUAAACGUGUCCUCAAAAUCAACCUUAACUUGGGAACCAGGUUUCAUAACUUUCUUUACCAUUUUAUCAAAAACUUGUAUGUCAGGAGGUUUUUUAAAUGUUUGCUGAACUAUGGGAGAGUUUACUUCCUCAUUCACCUCUAAUUUUUCUUUAAAAGGGUUGAUAACUGAUUUAGACACCUAGAAAUGCAAACAUUCAAAUAUGAUUAUUACUUCAAUUUUAAAUAAAGAAAUAAAACAAGAAUUAAAGCUAGUAAUAUAGGCCAGGUACCAUUGGGGUGUUAGCAUUCACAUCUAAUUUCCCCUUGGAAGGCUUUACAGCUGACUUAGACAUCUAGAAAUUUAAGCAUUCACAUAUGGUUACAAUUUAAAUUCUCAAUUAAAGAAUUAAAAAAAAGUAAUAUAUGCCAAAUUCAAUACCUUGUUUACUACAACAGCUUGGGAAACAAGCUUUUCUUGCCAUAAUAUGUGCUGUCCUAACCCAUCACUGACGUAAACAAGCUCACUAGUCCUGAUUGGAAGAUGGGCAUCUGGACUUAAUACCAUAUCAAUUACAACUAAAACAUUUGACUUCCUAUACUCCAAAAUAGUUCCAGUAGCAACAAUGUUUUCUUUACAUCCUACAGCCAACUGACAAGUUUGAUCCUAACCAAAAAAAGUAAUAAGAUUAUUAAAUAUGCACUUAAAGUAUAAAUUCAAAGAUUAAUUUAAUUACUUGAGUGUGCGUACCUUAUUUUUUUGCUUUUCAAAAAUUGGAUUUGUUUUGUUCUUUGUCUCGUUAGACACAUCUUGUGAUCCAAAUCUGUUGCUACAGACAUUGGAGUGUCUUGCUUUUGGUGAAGAUUUUGAGAGAUCAUGGAUAGUAGCUUUCAUCUUCACUAUUUGUUCAUUCAACAGCCUCUUCUCCUUUUGCCAAUCAGAUUCUAAAUUAACAGUGUGAAAGAAAGAAGAUGGCUUGACUCCUCUUCCCUUCCCUGUAACAUGCCCAUUACGCUCAGGCUUCUUUAAUGCUUGGGCCAAAAUAUCAUUCUCACUAGAUGUGGUUAUAACCCCUGAUUUUGCUAGCUGGGUCAACUCAUCCUACAAGAAUAUAAGACCAUUAUUCAUGCAACAUACAAGGAAUUGAUGGAAAAUUGCUCAAAGAAUAUUAUACUUACAAUUGUAUGCACAACAGGUAUCACAACUGGAUGAUAUCCACCAUUUGGGUUUCGACAAGCCCUUUUCCAUGCUACACUUCUAUCCACUUUCAAAUUGGGAUUUCCACAUUCUUUUUUCUAAUUCCAAUAGCAAUGUGACCAAUGUUAAACAUACAUCAAGUGCUAAAAAUAAUUAUAAUUUUUUUAUGAAAAAAAUACUUACUAUUUCUUCUUCUAAUCCAUUAUAACCUUUUCGACCAAGGUGAUGGUUGUAAAGAUUUAGUGCUCGUCUUUCUUUUUGAAGGCCAAUAAGCGUCUAAUGCAUAUCAUACAUAUGUUUAUUAGCAUUAACAUAAAUAAAAUAUAAAAAAAAUAAUGUUCACAAUAAUAAAAAAAGAUUACCUUAAAUUCUUUGGAUAAUCGAUCAUUAACAAAUGCAUCCUAAUGACCUUUUUGUAUGAAAGAGUACAAUAACGGUGGGUUACGCAAAUGAUUUGGAUGGGCUUUGUACUUUUUAACAUGUCGUGUGAGAUUAUAUCUAAAAGAACGAAAUGAACUUCCACCAAUUUGCAAACAUUGUCUUUUAAAUCGAUCAUCCACGUCAAACGAACUCUGUAAGACAUGAAAUAACAUAUUUAAACUACUAACUUUCCUGCAAAUGCAUCACAUAAUAUUCAUUUAGUUUUAUUAAUAUUAAAAAAUGAUAUUGUUUGCAACCACAAGAACAACUGAUAAAAUUAUAUAAUUAACCCCAAAAAAUAAGGCAAUGAGAUCACAAUUUUACUAAUUAAGAAUGAAAGUGAAAAUUAUUUGUGCGUUCUUUGUUUGUUGAACAAGAACAAAUAUAAGACUUAGUAUCAAUUAAAAAUACAAUUAAUUCAAGUAUAACACUAAAAUUAUCAAACUAGAAAGAGAGAAUUAAAAAAAAUCAAAAUUAAAAGAAAAAAAUACCUGAAAUUCAAGAAGCGAAUGAAGCUGAAGCAAGCUGAACUUCUUCAUGGGUUCUUCUUUAUAGGUUGAGUGAUUGGAUGAAAAAAUGAGAGAUGACUGUCAUUUAUAAUGAGAAUGAAAAUGUAUGAAACAGACUAAAUUGAAGCAAUAAUCACUUCUUAGAGUGAGUUUACAGACUCAAUAAAUUAAAAUCUCAUUAAUUAAUAAAAAUCAAUAACAUUACUUCUAAUUUGCAAGCAAUUUGAGAAUUGUUGCAGUUCUGUAAGUUUCCUUUGUUAAAAUGUAUUAAACGGACCAAAUUGAAGCUAAGUGCAUUACGUUAAUAUAUUACGAGAAACAUCUCAAUAAGAUGCUUGUUAAAAACAAAAUAAUCUUUUAAAGAGACAUUUCAUCAAACAAGUAAUGUGCAUUCAAAUAGCAGAGCAGAUACGACACUUGGAAUCAAUUAAAUCAACCCUAGAUUGUUUUAAAAUAUAAAUAAUUCAACUAUAACCCUAAAAUUAUCAAACCCCGAAAGAGAGAAGUAGANNNNNNNNNNNNNNNNNNNNNNNNNNNNNNNNNNNNNNNNNNNNNNNNNNNNNNNNNNNNNNNNNNNNNNNNNNNNNNNNNNNNNNNNNNNNNNNNNNNNAUAAAAAAUGCGAGGUGAUUAUUUUAAAAAAAUAUUUUUUUGAAUUUUCAAAAAAAAAACAAAGGCAGUCCAUAUGUGAUAUGUGAACGAAACAAGCUCACAAACAAAAAGCAAGCUGAAAUUCUUGGAAGACGGGCAAGAUGGGCAUUUGGACUUAAUACCAUAUCAAUUACAGGUCCACAACAUGUGCGGUUUUUGUUUUUUUCUUAAGUCAAUAAAAGGAAAACGUAAAUGGUAAUUAUUCAAUAAAUAUAUAAUAUAUUUCCACUUAUUUGGUAAAACGUCAUAAGUAUUUGAUGUUUAAAUAAAUUGUCAUUUAUAUUUCACAAUUACUCAAUUUUUCACAAAAUGUCAUAUAUAUUUGAUAUUUCUUAAAAAUUAUCAAAUAAAAAAUGUCAAGUAUUCUAUUUUUUCUUGUAGUGACUCCCCCCCUCCCCCCAAAAAAAUCAAUGCUUUCCCUUUUCCAAAAUUACUCAAUAAAAAUUGUUAACAUAAGAUUGUCAGAGAUUACUUUUAGUAUUUUAUCGGUGAUAUCAUUCUAUUUUUAAUUCUAUUUUUCUUAUUUUUUAAAAUUUAAUUUAAUUUAUUUUUAUUGAUUUAUGGCUUGAAUAAUCUAAAAAAAGAUUGUGUUUGUUUAUUUUCUUGUUAUUUAUAUUUGAAAACUUGUCAACUAGAAAACAUGCAUUAGAAUAUGAAAAACUAUUAAAAAAAAAAAGGAGGGUAGAAAAACUAGUCCAAUAUCAAAAAUCUAAGCACUUCCUCGGUUUGAAAAUAAUUUAAAUAUUUCUUUAUUAAAAAUAAACUGAAAAUAAAUAUUUUUGUUCUUUUUUUUCUCUCUUGUUAAUAUCACACAUGGACAACAGUAGAGGCGGCAAUUCGAGUUAAUGGAUCGUGUUCAUGUUAUGUCAUCAAAUUUGAGCUAACCCAAGCCUAACUCAUUUAUUAAUUGUGUAAAGAAUCUCAACCCUAGCCGAUCCAUUUAUUAUCGUGCUAUAAUUGUGUUACUUAUUUAACAAAAUCUCAAUUUUUAAUUAAAAAAAUAUUUUCAAUAUGUUUUUAUAUUUUCUAUAAAUCUUGGGGUGCUAUCAUGUUAAACUCUAAUCAAUUUUAUUUUAAAUACAAAUAAAUGAUUUUAAAAAAUAUGAAAAUUCAACAUUUAUCUAUCGAUAAAAUACAAGUCAAGUAGUAUAAUUAAUUGUGACAUAAAUAAAUUAUCAUAUGUAAAACCGAACCUAAUACAGUUAUUAAUCGAGUUGACAGUUCGGAAGAGCUAGUAAAUCCAUUCAAGUUGGAUAUUCAAGUAUCUGAUCCAAAUAGAUUGGAGAAUAUCCAUCCAAAAUACUCUGGAUUUGGUUUAUCUUAUGUUCAUCCAUGAACUUGAUUAUUAUUAAUAUUUAGGUAUAUGAGACUAAAUUUGAAUAUUAUAAUUAAUAUUUAAGUUUUGUAAAUUAAAUGAAAAAUUAAAAUAACCUUGCCGAAAAUUAUUGCACCAACGAUGACAAUGAUGGCACCAUCAUCAAAAAAUAAAAGUGAAUGAACAAAAACACAAAUACUAUCAACAUAUUUGAAAUUCUCCAAUCUAUGUAAUGGAGGCAACGUUGCCAGAUAAAUGGAUGUCUAGGGAUGGAUGCGCCUUCCAAUACAAAUAGUCGUAGCAAGACCAUCAUGAUUAGGCGGCAUUUCAAGGUUCACCACUACAUUUAACAACCAAAUUGAUGGUCUCUAAAUUGGAAAAAGGUGAUAGUGUAAUGUAACACACUAUGGUUUGUGGCAUAAUUAUGGUGAUAGCCACUUUUGGAAGGUGCAACUUUGCACAUCACCAUUUUCUGACUUUGAGACCAUCAUUAUGUAGAUCAUCCAAUUUUAAGUCCAAUGGUACCCUUCACAGUCCUCUUCAAUCAAUAACAAUCAUGUCAUCGUCGACAACGGAGCAGUGACCGCCAGCAAUUAUCUAUAUUUUUAAUGAAAAUUAUUGAUUUACAAUUAAUUAAAAAAUAAGAGUAAUGAAUUUUGUUUUGUUAUUAUGUUUCUAUAUCAAAAGUAAUUUUAAUUACCUUUUAAUAUUAAUAAUUUUAAGAAAUUAAAUAAAAAUGAAUAAUUUUUUUUGUAAAACACAUUAAUUAGUUUUUCAUAUUAUAAAAUGUAUAGUAUUUAUAAUAAAAUUAAAUAUCAAUGUCUACCCAUGGAUAUCCAUAUUCAUAUUGGAUAAUUAUGUAUUUUUACAAUGGAUGAAUAAUCACUAUAUCCAACUAGAUUUUGCAUCCUUAAUUGAUAGAGAUAUGACCAAUUAAAUAAUUGUGUCAAAUUAACUACUCAAAUAUAUUUUCUUGUGUUAUUUUCUUAUCAGGUUAAUGGGUUAGCGUCGAACAAUAGCAACAUGACUAUGAUCAAUUUUUUUUUUAAUUUGAUAGUGAAAUGUAUUUUUUUCCCCCAAUUCUAGCCAAUUAAGCAUUGACUUCUCUUCAUUUAUUGCAAUAACAGAACUUAUAUUAUCCAAAUUUGACAAUUUUGUGAUGUUAGAGUAUCGUGUUCAUACUGAUAUAUUCAAAAGGUGCUUGUGACAUAGGUCUUGGAAUCUAGAGGUCUUGGCUUCUAGAGGUAUCACUAUAAUUGAAAAUUUCUAGGUGAAAGAGAAAUGUGUCAAAAUUUAAAAGUCCUUGGCUUUUUUGUUUUUAUAACAAAUAUCAAGGCUCCAUUAUAGUUGACUUAGAAAAAGACCAAAAAAAGGGUAACAAACCUAUGUGCCAACAUAGUUUUGCCCUAUAUUAUGGGAAAGCUAAUAUUUAGGCUUUACCCGAUUAUUACUCCUAUUCAUAAUUAUCUAUCUUAUUUGAUAAUCUUCACCUUAAAAAAUAAGAUAUAUUUUUAUGGUAUAAUCAUUAUUUUAAAUUUUUACUUCUUUAUUUUACUACUACUCCCUCCCCCCCCCCCCCCCCCAAAAAAAAAUCAAUGCUUUCCCUUUACAAAAAUUACUCAAUAAAAAUUGUUAACAUAAGAUUGUCAGAGAUUACUUUUAGUAUUCUAUCGGUGAUAUCAUUCUAUUUUUCUAUUUUUAAUUAUUAUUUUUCUUAUUUUUUAAAUUUUAUUUUAUUUUUAUUUUUUAUUGAUUUAUGGCUUGAAUAAUCUAAAAAAAAAGAUUGUGUUUGUUUAUUUGCUUGUUAUUUAUAUUUUAUUUUUAUUUUUUAUUGAUUUAUGGCUUGAAUAAUCUAAAAAAAAAAAGAUUGUGUUUGUUUAUUUGCUUGUUAUUUAUAUUUGAAAACUUGUCAACUAGAAAACAUGCAUUAGGAUAUGAAAAACUAUUUAAAAAAAAGGAGGGUAGAAAAACUAGUCCAAUCUCAAAAUGGAGCUCUUAAUAAAUUUGUCACAACUAGUCAAAAAGGUAUAGAUCUAACUGAAAAAUUAGUUAUUGAACAACUAACUUCAAAUGAAUUAAGCAAUGAUGAAACAGUGAAUGAAAUAAACAACAGUGAAGAUGAUAAAAACAAAAAUCCAAACAAAGUUGAUGUACCAAAUUUAUUUGUUACAAAUAAUAUGUAUGCUUCAGGAAAAUGGGAAAAUGUUGAUGCAAAGUUAAGAGAAUCUUUUAGUAUAAAAAAGCACAAUUAAAGACAAUAUCAUAACUUUCACAAAAGAUGAAAAUUCAAGGCAUUUCUCUGCUGUAUUUUAUGUUAAAAUGCUACCAAAUGGAGAAAAAUAUGAUAGGAAAUGCUUGGUAGAUUCAAAAGAUUUUGACAAAGUAUAUUGUUUUUGUUGCAAAUUAUUCAAUACAAGUUGUAGCAAAAAUCAGCUUGAUGAUGAAGGCACAAGAGAUUGGAAAAAUCUUAGCUCUAAACUUAGAGAUCAUGAAACAACCAAUGAACAUAUAAUUGAUAAAGAUGUUCAAGAAUAAAUUGAUAAGGAAAAAGAACUUUGGAAAAAAGUACUAAUAAGAAUUAUUAUUGUUGUAAGAAAUCUUUUUAAAAAUAAUUUAGCAUUUCAUGGAAAAAAUGAGAAGAUCUAUGAAGAGAGAAAUUGAAAUUUUUUAAGUUUAAUUGAAAUGAUUGUAAAAUUUAAUCCAACAAUGCAUGAACAUAUUCAACAUAUUAAAAUCGGUGAAGUUAAAGAUCAUUAUCUUGGAUAUAUAGACAAAAUGAGCUGAUAUUGAUUCUAGCACUUGGAAUAACAGUUGUCACUGACAGGUUAAGAUAAGCUACCAAAUUGGCAAGGAAGAAAUUCUAGUAUUAGUGUCAUAUUUUAUGCCAUAUUAUGUAAUGCAUAUUAGUAAUGAUUUCUUCAUAAUAUCGCAGAUAUAUAAAAGUUCAUCCUAGCUAGAUACAUUGUAGAUUUUGUAAGAAUUAUUUUACUCCGUCCAAAUGAGUUCACAUUAUUAUCCAAUUUUCCUCUUUUUUUCCUUUUUUUUUUCCUUUUUUUUAAGUUGAUUUAUGAAAGAAAAAAAAAUGACACCAAUGUUUUCCACGUCGCCGCAAGUCUCAUCGAUAAAAGUCCAUUUACAAAUUAGUUCAUAAUUCUUUUUGUAACUUCGCUAAAAGCUAGUCAAGUCAUUGCUAGCAAGCCUCAAAAGCACGAAGUACGCGAAUCACGGCGAUAACUGAUAAUAACUUGGUUGUCCGGUUUCGCAUACUAAUUAGCUUGAUUGAAAAUCGUGAAGUAUGGGGCACGACUAACGCAACGCAUACGUCUCAUGCAUUAGGCAAAUAUUGUACGCCACCCAUGUUGAGAGCACAAAUCCACUAUCUACAAGUACUAUAUAUAGAGCUGCAAUGCGUGCUUCAAGUAUUCACAACUUACCCCUAGCUGGCUAGCUAGCCUCUAUAAUUUGAAGGAAAAAAAAAACAAAACAACCUUGUUCAACUUGCAAAUACCUACCAAUUAUUAUGGAGAAAAGCUUUGAUAUCAUUGCCCUGUCUAUGAUCAUUCUGGUGACUUAUUCAUCUAAAAUGGUGUCGGUCGCCGGCCGGUCGCUGCAUGAACCAUCCAUUGUUGAGAAGCAUGAAAAAUGGAUGGCUGAGCAUGGGCGCACUUACAAGGACGACCUGGAGAAGGAAAUGCGGUUUAAGAUAUUCAAAGAAAACCUUGAAUACAUUGAGAAAGCCAAUGAGGAGGCGAAUCGGACGUACAAGUUAGGCACCAAUGAAUUUUCAGACUUAACUAAUGAGGAGUUUCGUGCUUCAUAUACAGGAUACAGGGUGCCAAGCCAGUCAUCUUCAUCACGGCAAUCCACAACAGCAUCCUUCAAGUAUCAAAACCUGACUGACGUUCCAACUAGCAUGGACUGGAGAGAGAAAGGAGCUGUCACUCCUAUUAAGAACCAAGGUCAAUGUGGUAAGUAAAUCGUAUACUAAAUAUUUAUGAAGUAACUAUAAUAGAUUAUUUAGCCUCCAACCUCUUUCAGAACUCAAACUCAGUUGACCAUCAGCUAAUUAACAAAAACAGCUUGACAACCGUCUGCCAACCCCUGCUGGGGCAUGUUUCAUGUAACUUAAUCAAGCCUUUUUUUUUUCCUUAAUAUGUACGAUGCAGGAGACUGUUGGGCAUUUUCAGCUGUGGCGGCGGUGGAAGGGGUCACUGAGAUUAGUAGUGGUAAUCUUAUUCCACUUUCGGAGCAGCAAAUACUAGACUGCUCAAUAGAUGGUAACCGUGGAUGCGGUGGCGGUUGGAUGGACAAUGCCUUUAAAUAUAUUAUAAACCAGGGUAUUGCCACAGAAGCGGAUUAUCCAUACAAGGAAGUCCAAGGAACUUGUGAAGACGCACAGGUCAAGGUAGCUGCUAAAAUUAGUAACUUUGUAGAUGUAAAACCCAAUGAUGAGCAGGCUUUACUCCAAGCUGUAGCCAUGCAGCCAGUAUCAAUUUGCAUUGAAGGAAGUGGACCAGACUUCCAGAGUUACAAAGGCGGUAUUUUUAACCGAGGAUGUGGAACUCAGUGUUCUCAUGCUGUUGCUAUCGUUGGAUUUGGGGCAACUGAAGAUGGAAUGAAAUAUUGGUUAAUUAAGAAUUCAUGGGGGGAGAGCUGGGGUGAGGCCGGCUACAUGAGGAUUCUCAGAGAUGUUGAAGCACCUGAAGGUCUCUGUGGCAUUGCCACUAAACCUUCCUACCCAGUUGCAUGAGUAGCAGUAUUUUAUAUUAUAAUAUUAUUAGCCGCCUCUUAAUAAUGAUGUCUUCAAGCCUACACAUGCAUUAGCCUCGAAAGGCUUAUACGAACCGUAUGAAUCGUAUGAUUCUUGGUUUUACCUAUGUUGAGUAUUUCAUAAGUUGUAAUUGAACGCCAAUAUUUGGUAUUAGUUAAUGUUAAAUCUCUCGUUUAAAUAUAAGUUUGAUCUUUGCAGUAAUUAGUCAUUUACAUUUAAUGUCACGGAUACUCAGUUCGACCAAGA